UUAGGGGUUGCUCGUCAAUUCAUUAGCGUCGUGGUUUGCGUUUAGUUAAUUGCGUGUUUAGUUCGAUGAUGAAUGAUUUCUUCCGUUCUUCCGCUGUUUGUGUGUGUGUGAUGGAGACUUGGGGAAGCACGCUGUAACAUAAAUAACGCUUCAUUGGCAUGCAUGUUACUGUGAUGUCUAGACCUUGAAUGGAGUAUUUCACUAGGAAUUCAUGGCUACUUUGCUGUUCUUAUUAUGACUUGUGGUUUGGUUUAUGAGUACCUACUCCGCUAAUGACUAAUGGCUAAUUGUUGGAGAAACCUACGCCAACUGAAGGAUGCUACAUUCCAAGCCUCAAUUAUGUGGAACCGGCUCCUCUACCGUGCCUGCUGGGCACGGCAGGGUGCCGUGCCUUCUUACCCCGCACCUUACACAUUGAUAUGGGCCAGAAAGGCCAGACUCUUUGAUGAAAGUUUAUCUAAUCAGCCCAACUGUUCACCGGAUGCAUCACGUUCAACUAAAAAAAACUGAUGUAUCACACGCCUGCACGUGUCACCUAAUUAACUAUUUCCCAAACCCAAAAAGAAACUAUUUCCCCCUAGAAAAGCUAACUCACUAUUUCUACUUUUAUUUUUUUAGAUAACACUUCGAUCUAUUCAUAUUCAAUCAUGACAGUACAAUAAACACCAUAAAUAAUAAAAAAAUACACCCAGAUGCGUAGACCACCUAGCGACGACUACAAGUACUAAAGCGAGCCGAAGGCACGCCGCCGUCAUCGCCCCUCCCUCGCUGGAGCCGGGCAAAACUUGUUGUAUACACAGUUCAGAAGUCAUCGUGCUAAGACCCCAUAGGACCGACACGGCAGAAUAACAACCGCCGCCGAGAAAGGGUAGCGUAGAUUGGAAGAAUCCAACCUGAAGACACACGAACGUAGAUGAACUACGGCCAGAUCCAAGCAAAUCCAAAUCCACCAAAGAUAGAUUCGCCGGAAACACAUCUCCAUAUGCCCAUCGACGAUGCUAGAGACACCAUUGGGACGGGGGCUAGGCGGGGAGGAAUUUAUUUAAUAUUCAAGGAGCCGCCGCCAUCUCGUCUUCCUGAGCAGGACAUAAGUCCUAACAAAACUCGAAGAAACAUCUGAAAACGGGGCCCUUUCACUAUCAUUGUCUCAAUAAACUAAUUACCUAUUAUGAAUAUACAUGAGCAACAUUCUAAAAUGAAAAUGAACUCAUAUUUGAAAAAUGGUUUUGCUUAAUCUCAGCCAUAUUUUACGGAGAGCAUUUUUUUGUUAAAAUAUAUUUGUAUUUUGCUUCGAGCGGGCAACAGUACCAUUUCCUACAUUUGCAUAUUUUGAAAAGUUAGCAAAUAUAUUCAAGUAUUAGAAACUAUAAAUCCAGAAAAGACAAAAAAUUGAGAAACAACAUGCAGACAACAGUCGACUUAUAUACUUAACCAAAUUUAAAUCGACCAAAAUUUUGACAAACAAAAAAACGCCAUGAGAACAUGCAGCCAUGAACUAAUGCUGUUAAUUUUUUUAUAGAAGACUAAUAUUGUUAAUCAAUAAAAAAAUUGAGAACCAUGUUGUUAAUCAGCGGGCAUCAGGUGAGCUUUUAGUAGUUUCCUGGGCUAGACCAUUGCUUCGCCGGGGUAAAGAAGGCACGGCACCCUGCCGUGCCAAGCGGGCACGGUAGAGGAGCCGGUUCCCAAUUAUGUUGCAGUGAGAGCCGCUUGCAAGCUUGUGGUGUGGGCAGUGGGAACGUGACAAAUGUGGGACGGCGCUUUCCGGGCCUGGAACAUGGCAGGCAGCGCAGAGGUGCGAUUAGCAGUACUGUUUCGCCGCCCGUGGGGUGUGGAGCCGACGAAAACGGAGAUGGAGCUCGCAGUCGCAGAGCUGUAGCAGUACUGCAAGCCUGAACCAGACCCGACCGACCAAAGUGCAUGUGGCACUGCUUGCGAAUUCUCGCUGCCCUCCGCGUCGCGAAACGAGAUCUAGGAGGAAGCGUCCGGGAGAAAGGCUGGACCGGCAGCUCCAUGGUCCAGUCGACGCCCUGCCCGUCGCACAGCUCACUGUCUCUGGCAUCGUACCUGUAGCCUGACCCAUCAUCGACCGGGCUCCUUAAACCACCAUGGUACGUCCGGAUGGACGGUCCGCUCAGCAUCCGAUCACCAAAACACACGAUCCAGUCGAGCUAUUCAAAUCGGCCCUAUACUGCCGAGCUGACCGGCACACCCUCGUAUCCAGUCUAAAUUUGAGAUGAAUACGAGAAGGCCUGGCCGCGUUCAAGUAUGCCCGUCACGUCGAACUGACGACCUUAGACCCACACGAACAUACGAACACAACGGUCCUAUGAGAAAGCCACUUCGGCGCACCACAUGAUGGGCCAAAUCUGACUAUUUAUGCCGGACGAUAGUAACCUAACCCUAGCCCGUCUCANNNNNNNNNNNNNNNNNNNNNNNNNNNNNNNNNNNNNNNNNNNNNNNNNNNNNNNNNNNNNNNNNNNNNNNNNNNNNNNNNNNNNNNNNNNNNNNNNNNNNNNNNNNNNNNNNNNNNNNNNNNNNNNNNNNNNNNNNNNNNNNNNNNNNNNNNNNNNNNNNNNNNNNNNNNNNNNNNNNNNNNNNNNNNNNNNNNNNNNNNNNNNNNNNNNNNNNNNNNCGUCGCAGGUGCAGGAGUAGGCUCCGGACACGACCAUGGAGGGCGCGAAGCUGGAGGAGGAACAUGACGCAGGCGAGGCGGAUCGGGCAAGACAUACUAGAACCUAAACAUGGCAAUGCAAGACUAUAGAGCAUGAAUUCACAAGGAAAAAUAAGUUGAGGAUCGGAGGAGAAACAUACCGUAGAGCGUUCACGCGGAAGGAUUCGGACUGAAAACAAGUAGGGAGAGAUAUCCUUCGAGGGAUUGGAGAGUCUUGGAGAAAGAAGAAAUAAGAGAUUGAAAUUUAAGUUUAGGGUUACCUCGGGUUCAUAUUCCCAAAACUGGAUGCGGAGCGCACACGCUCGUACAAAAUGUCAUCAAACUCCCCGAAUCAUAUUCUUCCUGAAACACACGUGGUACAACCGAGGGUAAGAGCGUUCGUGCUCGUACCAAACACCGUCUUAAAAAUUCAGACCUUCUGUAUAUGUUGUUGAAUAUGCGGGGGUGUCUUUAAAAACUGGACCUUCCGUUCCAUUUUUCCCGGGUGUGGUAUGAGCGACUCUGUGUGCCGCCAAAUGUCCUGGACCAUUGUCUUCUCCUCUCCUCUUUGGUAUGACAUCCGGUACGAGUGUGGUGGCUCGUACUAUGCACCGUCUCUACCCUAGAAGCUAGAUUUGUAAAUUUCUUCAGGGAUUUUCUUCGUGGUCCUAAGAGGUUAGUUCCAACAUGUCCAAAAGACAAAAUUUUGAAAGUUUUCAACAGAGACCUAGUACACAGUAACUUUUAUACAUACCAUGUCAGUAACGGACAUUUUCUUCUUUUCCUCUUAACUAUAGCUUCCAGCCUUCUAUCACUCUUUAUUGAAACGAACAAAAACAAAACAACUUACUUUCUUUUACCUUAUUUGCAUGAGUUGCCUCUCAUGAAGCGCUUUGUAAGGUUGCUUCUCCUUUGGUAUAAUAACGCCUAGUCCAUAGCAUAUGGCAUUUAGGAUGAUUUCGUCUCCCAUGUAGGUCUUCAUCUUCUUUUUUCUAGGGAAAUGCUUAAGAAAUGAUCAUUUGAAGGAAGCAAAAAAACUUGCAUUAUCUUAAAAAAACAUCAAUGGUAGCUUUGAUGGUUGUUGGUGUCAAAACCGACAGACCUCGGGGUAGGGGCUCCUGAGCUGUGGAUCUCGGAUCGGUGGUAACAGAAACAAGGGAGACGAUGUUUAUCCAGGUUCUGGACCUCUUAAUGGAGGUAAAACCCUACGUCCUGCUCUUGUUUAUAUUGAUGAUGGUGUAUCGAGUACAAGAUUGAUCUACCUCGAGAUCGUAAGUUGUGCUAUAACCCUAGGGCUAGAUGAAUGUGAUUGUGAUCCCCCCUAUACGGGGUAAACUCUUUAGCUCAUAUACACGCAAGACAUGGUAUCUAGGGUUACAUGGUCGAUGUCGAGGGACGCAGAUGGAAGCGGCAGGAGAUGUCUUCGAGUAUACGCCAAGUCUUCGGCAAAUGUAGCCUUGAUCACGUUCCAAGAGUGCAGCUUCCGGAGUGACCUUAAUAAGGAUGAGGGCCCACUGGCCCGGCCCAAGGACCACGGGAACCACGGGUCAAUUAGGUUAGCACCCCUACCCCAGGACACUAUCAAUAGCCUCCGAACUGGUCUUCUACGCCGAAGACGACCUCUUCGAUGUUAAUGAAUCCGGAUCCGAAGUCCUUGGCUUGACAAACGAGUUCCCCUUUGUUAUUCCGAGAUUCUUUCCAAGCCUUCCUGGACCACUCCUCGAAGGAAUGAUGUCUCCCGAUCGAGACCUAGCCGAACUCGCACUUCGUCCGAGGACAUGGGGUUACUUACCUUAUUUUUAUCCCGGUUGCAAUUCCACUCUAAACUCGAAAUCAGGCCCUGACAUUUUAUGUCCUCAUGGCAAGUCGACCCUCGACUCGCAACUGAGGCCCGCCUUUUUUCGUCCCGGUUGGAAGUCCAUCCUUGAUUUAUAACUAGGGACCGACCUUUUUUGUCCUAGUUGAAAGUCCAAUCUCAACUCAUAAAAUGGGGCCAAACUUUUUUGUCCAAAUUGCAAGUCCACCCUCGAUUCACACCGGGGCCUUUGUCCGAGUUGCAAGUCCACCCUCGACUCGCAAAUAGAGUCCAACAUUUUUGUUCGAGUUGCAAGUCCACCCUUAACUCACAACUAGGGCCCAACCAUUUUUGUCCAAGUUGCAAGUUUACCCUCGACUCGCAGAUGGGCCCAUCCUUUUUUGUUCGAGUUGCAAGUCCACAGUCAACACAUAACUAGGGGCCUAGGUUUUUAGUCCCAGUUGCAAGUCCACCCUCGAUUCGCAAGUGGUACCUGGCCUUUUUUGUUCCAGUUAAGUCCAUGGUCGAAAUGCAACUACGGCUUAGACAAUUUCUUGUCUCAGUUGUAAGUCCACAGUCAACUCACUCACAACUCGGGCCCAACCUUUUUUGUCCCAAUUGCAAGUCCAACCUUGACUCGCAACCGGGGCCGACCUUUUUUGGUCCCAAUUUCGAGUCCAUCCUCGACUUGCCACUCGGGUCCAACAUUUUUUUGUCCCCGUUGCAAGUCCACCCUCGACAACGAACAAACCGCAGAUAAGCCGAUCCAAGUAGGCAGGAUACAUUUUUAUUCUGUUUUCUUCAUGUUUUUUCUUUUCUUCUUGUAUCAUCUUUUCUUCAUUGGUUUCCUCCCCUUUUAAAUUUUCCUAUUUUUCAAAAAUUGAACUUUUUGAUUCUUUUUUAAUAAAUUCACAUGUUUCAACAAAUGUCUGAAAAUUUGUAAAAUUGUUCAUUUUCUAAAAUUGAUCUUGUUUACAUUUUUUUAAUUCAAAAUGUGUUUAUUUUUUGUUCUCUUCUUAUUUAUCUAUUUUAUCUGUUUGUUUUUUCCUGUUUGCUUUUAGUUCAUCGUAUAUAAAAAGGUUCACUGCAUAGAAAAAUUAUAUGUAUAUUGCAAAAAAUAGUGUGUAUUCAGAAAAUGAUCAUCAUAUAUUAAAGGAUUGUUCACCGUAUAUUAGAACAUUUUUGUAUUCGCUAACAUUUUUUGUAAUUUAAAAAUUUAUGUAAAUUCGUGAACAUGUUUUUUGAAAUAUAUUUUGUUCCAAAUUUGUUCCUUGCUGAAAAUUAAUUAUAAAAUAUAAGAGUGAAAAACGCAAAAACCAAUAGGCCAAAAAAAAUCAUAGGUAGCCUAGAAGCUAGUGAUGAGAGACGUACUUGUAUAUGUUUAUUGAUCAGACGCGAAAGCUAACAAAUCGAUGUUAGCACUAGUGAUCAGUCUUUUUCUUCCAAAAAAGCUAGCGAUCAGAUUUUUUUGUACGGAUAGCUAGUGACUAGUUUUUUUUCAUGGGAGCUAGCGACCAGAUUUGCGUAUAGGCCAGCCACCCAGGCGGACGUGGGGCUAGCUGGGUUUUAGUUUUAGGCUUUGACAAAUUAAAAGGAAACAAACAAUGAAAAAAUGACCGAAAAUUUUAUUAAUAGUAAUUAAUAAUUUAAUAAUUACGAAAGUGGUAAAUGAUAAAUGGAAAUUUGGAAAUUUGGAAAAUAGUAAGGACGCAGUGGAAAACAGCAUCCAGCUUGGACGCAGAUGAGAAGGACGUCCUAGUCUGGACGCUGUUGUUGCCAGCAUCCAUCAUCUGGUUGUGCCUAACCCCAACUCCCUGAACAGAUAGCAUGGCUGGAGGCCGCCACCUCCACCUCGUCCUCGUCGCCAACCUUCAUCUCCCCGCUUCUCGGCUGGCCUGGCCUCCGGCUCAUCGAUCCCCGCCGCCCACUUUCCCAUAGACAGCGCCUCGCCUCUGCCUCGUUGCCCCGACCUCCGACUCAUCCCCAUCGCCCACACCCUCAUGGCUGCCCCCGAUCUCUUAGCCUUAUCUUUAAUAACUUCUCAUUUCUUAAAACAUGAUGAGACAAAUUAUGCUAAGAGAUCAUCUCUUGUCUUGUCUUAAAUAAGAAAAGACAAGGUUUUUUCUUACGAAUUCUCUCUCCUGCACCUCAUCAUUUAUCCUACGUGGCACUACUAAGAUAACACCAUUGUACAUGCCCUAAGCCUGUGCCUCCAAAGACUGAACCUCACCUGCACCACUCAUCUCUACAAGCACAGACAACUUUGCGUCUCUAGAUCGUAGCACAUCCAUAGCCUGCCCGCAACGGACGGCCGCUGCAUCGGGUCGUGGUGCACGCACCAGAGCCCUGUGACGAGUAGACGCUCCAUCUGCAGCCUGUCAAACUCGCCAUCCAGCCUCCGAUCAGGCGCGUCGACGAUCCGGUUCCGGCAAGGGUGGAGGCAGGAUUUGAGCUUAAACGGGGCCGAACAUGGUGAUUCUCACUUAGAGGGGGCCAAGAAAGCUAAUUUUGUCCAAACAUCAUGUCUAAACUAGACUUAAGUACAAAAUCAUCCUUACUGUACAAUGCCAUAGGGAGGCCAGGCCCCUGCUGUUCCCCCUAGCUCCGCCAUUGGGUUCCGGACUUUCGGUGGUACAUGCCACGGACCGAGGCCAGCAGCGCCACCGAGGCCUGAUGAUCUGGCCGCCUCUACGUUGGUCGCCGGCCGCAGGCGAUCUUGAGGAGCACGAUGCCGAAACUGUACAUGUCGGACUCGGUGCUCAGCCUGCGGCUGCUGACAAACUCCGGGUCGAUGUACCCGAGGGUUCCCACAACGACCUGCGUUGUCGGUGUGGCUCGGCUCAGUGGUCAACGAGGCUCGCUAGCGCGAAGUCGCCGAGCUUGGCGUUGCGCGACGCGUCGAGCAUCACGUUUGCGGGUUUGAUGUCGCCGUGCAUGAUGCACUGGUCGCAUUCCGGGUGGAUGAACCGCAAGGCGGAGCCCAGGCCGAGCGCGAUCUUGUACCUGCAGUGACAGUGGCGGGUAUAGAGCUUGGAUACUGCCAACUCCGGCUCAAAAACUUUUAGAUAAGAUCGGUCGAUGCAGAACAACAGAAGGAGGAGUACCAAUCGGGCCACGUCAAGGGUCUGCCAGGACUGUAGAGAUGGGUGUCAAGGCUGCCUCCGGAGACGAGCUCGUAGACAAUCGGUAGUGAUCUCCGGCAACGGUACCAGCCGAUGAGCUGGACGAUGUUGCGGUGUCUAAGACGGCUCAUGAUGUUGACCUCUGCCUCAAACUCCUUGCGCCCCUGCACCGUCGUCUGCUCCUCUGAGAGCGUCUUGAUGGCCACAUCCCGGUCUUGGUCACUCAAGUAGCCUCGGUACACCUGAGCGAAAUUGUCCGUGGCGGCGUCAAGCUCACUGUUUUUUUUUGAAACGGAGACAAAAAAUUUGCCUCAUUCAUUAAUUAAGAGAGAAGAGUUUUAUGGUGUUACAAGUGACCACACACAUGGCAUGCAGGGCCGGCCCUGAGGGGGGCAGGGGGGCGGCCGCCUCGGGCCCCCAAGAUCUAGGGGCCCCCUCUCAGGUGUAAUAUACGUAUAAAGGUAAGUAUAGUAGCAGGCCAUAGCUUCACGUAGAAAAAAGAAGUAGCCCAGCCCAAGAAGUAAGGUAGCAGCGAAGGCACAUAAAUCAGGGUACGAUCAUGCGGAAACAAAUCAGCGUACACACGUAAAUCACGUCGGCUCAUUCUCUUUAUAUUCCAUAACUAUCGUGAGACAUUCUCCCUCCAAAAGAAAAAUAAAUGAUCGUGUGACGUGAGGUCAUCCCUAAUUCCCUUUAUUCUUUGUUCUCCGCAAGCUCCAAACUCCAGAUCCCAAAUCGCUUAGGGGUGACUAGUCUCUGUUAGGUUGAUCUCUUUUCCGUUCGAGCCGAACGGCUCGACGGGACCGUGCACCGCUGACCCCACCAACAUCCCUACCAAUCUAGGGUUACCGCGAGCCGAUGGGAAGCUCCACUGCAUCCACCCUAGCGCAUACACUGUUGGGGAACGUAGUAAUUUAAAAAAAAAAUCCUACGCACACGCAAGAUCAUGGUGAUGCAUAGCAACGAGAGGGGGAGAGUGUGAUCUACGUACCCUUGUAGAUCGACAACGGAAGCGUAUGGUUGAUGUAGUUGUACGUCUCCACGGCCCGAUCGAUCAAGCACCGAAACUACGGCACCUCCGAGUUCUAGCACACGUUCAGCUCGAUGACGAUCCUCGGACUCCGAUCCAGCAAAGUGUCGGGGAAGAGUUCCGUCAGCACGACGGCGUGGUGACGAUCUUGAUGUACUACCGUCGCAGGGUUUCGCCUAAGCACCGCUAUAAUAUUAUCGAGGACUAUGAUGGAAGGGGGCACCGCACACGGCUAAGAAUAUGAUCACGUGGAUCAACUUGUGUGUCAAGGGGUGCCCCCUGCCCCCGUAUAUAAAGGAUCAAGGGGAGGAGGUCGGCCGGCCUCUAUGGCGCGCCAAGGAGGAGUCCUCCUCCUAGUAGGAGUAGGAGGGGGAAAGAAGUGGGGAGGGAGAGGGAAAGGGGGGCGCCGCCCCCNNNNNNNNNNNNNNNNNNNNNNNNNNNNNNNNNNNNNNNNNNNNNNNNNNNNNNNNNNNNNNNNNNNNNNNNNNNNNNNNNNNNNNNNNNNNNNNNNNNNNNNNNNNNNNNNNNNNNNNNNNNNNNNNNNNNNNNNNNNNNNNNNNNNNNNNNNNNNNNNNNNNNNNNNNNNNNNNNNNNNNNNNNNNNNNNNNNNNNNNNNNNNNNNNNNNNNNNNNNNNNNNNNNNNNNNNNNNNNNNNNNNNNNNNNNCUCCGGCUCUCUGGUUUUCUCCGAAAUCACCCGGAACACUUCUGGUGUCGGAAUAUAGCCGUCCAAUAUAUCAAUCUUUAUGUCUCGACCAUUUCGAGACUCCUCGUCAUGUCCGUGAUCACAUCCGGGACUCCGAACUAACUCCUUCGUCGAGGUCUCAAUCUUUAGAGUUGCGUUUAAUUCUAUCCAAUAAAUUUCAUCUGAGUUCAAUAGUCUUCAUCAUAAAAGAGCCAACACAAGAAGUAUCGAGCAUGGUGCGAAUGUUUUCAGAAAGCCGAGCAUAAAAACUUUGCAUAAUUAUUUCUCUCGAGAGCUCAUGAUUGGGGCAUGAAUAUAACAUUAAUUUAAGCCUCCCCCAAGCUUGAGCGAUGCUUUCUCCUUCGCGAGGCCAGAAAUUAUAUAUAUAAUUGCGAUCACGAUGAACAAGAUGCAUAGGGUAAUACUUUUGAUGAAAUUCCAACUUCAAUCUUUUAUAGUUCCAUGAUCUUAUAUCAUCACAUAGCCUAUACCAUAUCAAUGUGUCUUCCUUCAAAGAUAAAGGGAAGACCUUCUUCUUAGCAACAUCAUCGGGUAUACCUGCAAGCUUAAAUAAUCCACAAACUUCAUCCACAUAUAUUAAGUGCUCAUCAAGAUGCUUUGUUCCAUCUCCUGUAAAAGGGUUAGCUAGCAGUUUUUCCAUCAUACUCGAAGAAAAUUCAAAAGGAGUUUCAUUUUCAAUAGGUUCAGUAGGUUGAGGAGCAACUCUUUGCUCUACUGGACGAGGUGAAGAUACCCCGAACAAGCCCCUCAGAGAAUUACUUUCCAUAGUAACAAGUGACAGUAAAUUUCAGCACACUAUAUAAAUUUUUCCUUACCAAAUUCCACCUACCAAAGGCGCUACACUCCCCGGCAACGGCGCCAGAAAAGAGUCUUGAUGACCCACAAAUAUAGGGGAUCUAUCGUAGUCCUUUCGAUAAGUAAGAGUGUCGAACCCAACGAGGAGCAGAAGGAAAUGAUAAGCGGUUUUCAGUAAGGUAUUCUCUGCAAGUACUGAAAUAAGUGGUAACAGAUAGUUUUGUGAUAAGAUAAAUUAUAACGAGCAACAAGUAACAAAAGUAAAUAAAGUGCAACAAAGUGGCCCAAUCCUUUUUGUAGCAAAGGACAAGCCGGAACAAACUCUUAUAUAAGGAAAAGCGCUCCCGAGGACACAUGGGAAUAUCGUCAAGCUAGUUUUCAUCACGUUUAUAUGAUUCGCGUUUGAUACUUUGAUAAUUUGAUAUGUGGGUGGACCGGUGCUUGGGUGCUGUUCUUACUUGAACAAGCAUCCCACUUAUGAUUAACCUCUAUUGCAAGCAUCCGCAACUACAACAAAAGUAUUAAGGUAAACCUAACCAUAGCAUGAAACAUAUGGAUCCAAAUCAUCCCCUUACGAAGCAACGCAUAAACUAGGGUUUAAGCUUAUGUCACUCUAGCAACACAUCAUCUACUUAUUACUUCCCAGUGCCUUCCUCUAGGCCCAAAUAAUGGUGAAGUGUUAUGUAGUCAACGUUCACAUAACACCACUAGAGGCUAGACAACAUACAUCUUAUCAAAAUAUCAAACGAAUACCAAAUUCACAUGAGUGCUAAUAGCAAGACUUCUCCCUUGUCCUCAGGAACAAACGUAAUUACUCACAAAGCAUAUUCAUGUUCAUAAUCAGAGGGGUAAUAAUAUGCAUAUAGGAUCUGAACAUAUGAUCUUUCACCAAAUAAAUCAACUACCAUCAACUACAAGGAGUAAUCAACACUACUAGCAACCUACUAGCACCAAUCCCGGACCUUGAGACAAGAAUUGGAUACAAGAGAUGAACUAGGGUUUGGAGAUGAGAUGGUGCUGGUGAAGAUGUUGAUGGAGAUUGCCCUCUCCCGAUGAGAGGAGCUUUGGUGAUGACGAUGGUGAUAAUUUCCCCGUCCCGGAGGGAAGUAUCCCCGGCAGAACAGCUCUGCCGGAGCUCUAGAUUGGUUCCGCCAAGGUUCCGCCUCGUGGCGGCGGAGUCUCGUCCCGAAAAGUUUCUUCUUAUUUUUUUUCUCAUCGAAAGACUUCAUAUAGGAGAAGAUGGACGUCGGAGAGCCGCCAGGGGGCCCACGAGGUAGGGGGCGCGCCCUAGGAGGGGGGGGCGCCCCCACCCUCGUGAGCAGGGUGUGGGCCCCCUGGCCUUCAUCUUUGGCGAGGAUUUUUCUUUAUUUAUUUUAAGAUGUUCCGUGGAGUUUCAGGACUUUUGGAGUUGCGCAGAAUAGGUCUCUAAUAUUUGCUCCUUUUCCAGCCCAGAAUUUCACCUGACGACAUUCUCCCUCCUUAUGUAAACCUUGUAAAAUAAGAGAGAAUAGCCAUAAGUAUUGUGACAUAAAGUGAAAUAACAGUCCAUAAUGCAAUAAAUAUCGAUAUAAAAGCAUGAUGCAAAAUGAACGUAUCACGUUGCUCAACUUAGUCUCCUGGAGACAGACCAAAUGGCAAGAGGUGCUAGUGAUGGUAGCCUUGACAGUUGCUCUACGGUUCGGGCAAUUAAGCCCUCUCACGUUCCAGUUGAGGGUAUUGAUAGGUUGCACUGUCAUGGAUGCACAGGGGUUGCCCUUGGACUAACAUGGGAUAAAACAUCAACACAAACAAGGUGGGAUCCCAGACCCCAGUACACGGCCCGUGGCCAAAUUUGAAGUACGAACACACACCCGUGUGGGACACAGCCUGAGUUACAUAACCCAUGGAGUGUAGUGAAGAGGUACAAACUAGACACAUAUAAACUAGUAGCAGCAACAGAACCCUUGUAAGCAUCAGAUUGGUUUACUAACAUGACAACCAUGGAAGCUCUAACACAGGUACUACAAGUAGUAUCCGCUCAAGCGAUCGCAGGCUGCGAUCCCUGGCCGUCUUGCUCCAGCCCCACAGAGUCUAAUGCGGCAGCACCACCAUGGUCUAUCAGCGCAUCCUCAGCAACACUAAUAGAACUGUCAUCAAGCUUGAAGGAGUCCCUCAUGGCCACAAUCAGUUCAGGAGGGAGCUACUCCUUGAAUUUCUCCAUGAACGCCUCCAGGAUCGAAGCAGUUACAUCUUUGACCAUCUUUGGUUAUGGCCAGGCUGCGGCAAACCAGGCGCUCGGCCACCUUUGCCGCCGGAGCAGCCGGCGUGCGGCUGGAAGGUCGCCGGAUCCGUUGCAGAGAGAUGCCACCCUCCUUGGAGAUUCUCAUGCCCGCCAAAGUCUUUCGACGGGCCGCUGGAGGGCUUGGCCUUGGAGAUGCCAAGGGCGCCUCAGGGGGAGGUUGCGUGGUUGCAGAUGGCAGGAGCGCCGACUGCCUUGGAUAGAAGAGUGUUGCCGGAAGCUCGAGGCAGGGCACAAUGAGCUCAGCCAGGCCCGCCGGCAGGUCGUGCCCAGCAUCAUGGGGGCGAGCACGGGGUGGCGUAGGGGUUCGCUGUAGGUUGCCAUUGCACUGGAGAGGUGGGGUUGGGGAGGCUUCAAAGCCUGAAGGCCGCAGCGGGGAGAUGUCAAGGAGCAGGCGCUGCAUCGUGGCCGGCGAACAUAGCUCGAUGAGCGCCGGGCUCAGGACCUGGGAUGCCGCUGCUGCUGCAUGUGCUUCGUCACGUUUCGACGCUGGCGGGGUUCGGAGCACCGUUGUAGGAGACAGUGAUGGCGACGCCGGGGGAGUGCGUGCUUCCCUGGAUAUGCGCCUUGCAGAGGCCGGGCGCGGCUGCCUGAACGGACUGCGGCCACGCGCGAAACAGCCUAAGUCCCAUUUCUCGCCGGAGUUCGAUAACCGAUGUGCUCUGCGUCAGCCUCUUGCCGCGUAUGCAGAGCAGAAGGGCUGGCACGGUGCAAAUCAAGACCAGCAAGGCCGAGCCUACCACAGCUGCUUGCAUCAACCACGAUGACGCGAUCUUCCCGCGGAACACAACAGGCUUUUUCUUCCUCGUGGUCAUCGCUCUACGGUCAUAUCUUCCCUCACUAGGUUGCUCUAGGAGGCUAAUUGCAAGUUUGUAUUCUUCGAACGCGGAAGCGAGAUCAGAUAAAAACCUGGCUCUGCAGUUCAUUGGUGGUCUGUAGCGAGAAUCCCGAGUCUCCUCAAGGAUAAUACACACCCAAUAGUCGUCGAAACUGAUUCCGCCCAUGGUGGUUCCCAUUGCAAGUGUGGCAUCGUCACAAGAGAUCACAUCGGAGAGAUCCCAGUCCCUGCAGUUGAAUACGGCGGCGUGAGAUGCGAGGCAGAAAACGGAGGAUAGCACGAGCAGGAUAUGGAUUCUUGCGUUGUAGGAAGCCAUGGUGCGUAGUGUGUUCUUGUUGCUGGGUGGCUCCGUUGGCCAGAGCAAGCUUAUUGAUAAGAGGAGAUCAGGUCACGACAGGAACUCUCCAAGAAAACGUUCUUUGGUUUACACGCUCUGUUUUAUCUGUAUCCGUAAACUCAUGGAUCGGGAGAAUAUAUCAAGGCGGAGACUAUGCUAUGUAGAGACCAUGCACAUCUGCUUUAAGACUAGUGAGCUCUUUUAGCAACGUUCCGAUACAAGGCAUAUAUCAAUGUUCUAGCCUGCUGCGAUGUUUCUUGAUGAGUAUCCCGAUUGUUUUCGUUCUGUUUCUUACCCCAGCCUGCGUGCAUGUGUGAGGGGUUUUAGAAAGAUUUAUAUCAGCAUAAUAUCUACUCCCUCUAUAAACAAAUAUAAGAGCGUUUAGAUCACUAAGAAAUAUGAAAAAGUUUACAUCAGUGAUCUAAAUGUUUUUUUUUACAGAGGGAGUAGUUGUAAGGGAGUCAUCUGGCGCAGCUACUUUGGCACGGCCUGAGCGCUGUGAACAGUUUGGUUGUUCUGUUUGCCUCGUUUUUCAAUAAAAAUGAGGUGGGGGCGACCCCUUUGGUUAAACAAGAAGGUCGUUCGUCUUGUAAUAUAGACCGUUCAAUUUAUAUCUGAUGGAUAAAAGCAAAUUAUGAUAAUUUUGUAAAAAAGAUAUUCGCACCUUUCUUCACAUUUGUUGAUUAAGUCUUUCCUCGUUCAUCCUUAUCUCUAACAACCUCAUUGUUGAGCAAUUAAAGAAGAAAGCCUCUCGAACGAUCUGGCAUGAUGGCCACCUACCGGCGUCGUCCAACCAAUCACCACCGCACCCCACUCCUCCUCACCUUAUCUCUCCUCUUUCUCAAUAAAUCUUUAGUUUUUACACAGGAUUACUCCGCAUGGGUCAACUACAACAGGUGUUUUGUAAAAAAAAAAUGCAUUUUGAUGUUUCGUGCAAUGCACGGGCAUCUUGCUAGUAUAUCAAUGAUAUACCAAAUAUUUUCGGUAUUCAAAGGACGGGCCCCAUCUAAUAAAUUUUGAAACUACAUCAAUUAACUUUAAAAAUGGUUUCUUAACACAAUCCAAGAUUCGAAGGAUUCAAAGAAUUUCCCGACAAAAGAAAGACUUGAAAUAAUUUGUAAUAAUUUUCAAAUUUUGUUAUAAACUUAAUUCUAAAAAAUUGAAAUGCAAGUUUUACAGCUUUUAAAAUGCAACUAAAAUUAUAGAGAUUAGUAUUAAAUAAUAAAAAUAAUUGUGUGAAAUGUCUUUGGAAUGUUCCAGAAAUGAUUAACAUAUGACUAAGUAAUAAAAAUGUGUACAACGUAAUAAUUAUAUCUGCAAGUUGUUCUGAAACAAUAAUAAAUUUGGUACCUGCAUGACAUGUUUAUAAAAUUGAUUGACACAUGACUGUAAUAAUUGAAAUCCGAUGGAAAUAUAUGUUAAAUUGUUGUACUUAAAGUAUGUUCAUUAAUUAAUUUAUAAGGUCUUUUAAAAAAUCAAAAAAUAUUUAAAAUAUUAGAAUAAAAUAUAUCUUUUGUAAUGUCACUGAAAUAAUUGAGAAUUUAGGAAUCAAAAAGUGUCACAAAGAUAUCAAAUUUCUUUUGAAACUUUUUUGAAAAUUACUUUUACAUGUUUGAAUGAUUUUGGGUCUGGUAGAAGUUUAUUGAUAAUAUAUUUGGAAUCUACGACUUUCCACAAAAGACAUUCUAAAAGUAUAUAAAUCUAUUAUUUUUUUUAAAAAAUAUUGAUAGAAUGCAGGAUUCAAAUACUUUAACUACUUUCGCCGCAAAAAUGAAGACUUAAAAUAAGUGAAGAUAAUUUCAAAUUUUGUAUUCAAAUUAAUUUACAAAAUGCAAGUUUCAUGAUUAUUUUUUAAAUGACUAAAACUAUUGAAAUAUGUUAGAAAGAACUAAAAUUUGUGUGAAAUGCCUAUGGAACAUCCCAAACAUUGAUUAAAAUGUGACUGGGCAACUAAAAUAUAUAGGGAAAUGUAUUUAUCAUAUUUACAAAUUAUUCUUAAACAAUGCUUUUUUGUAUGUGUAUGAAAUGUUUUUGAAAUUGAUUAAAACAUGGCUGUGAUAAUUGAAACAUGACAGAAAUGUAUCCAAUUGUUUUGUACUCAUAUCAAUGUUUAUGAAUUAGUUUGUAAAGUCAUAUUGAAACAAUAAAAGGUGAGAAAAUAAUUGAUAAUCUUUGAAUAAAUAUAUUUUUAAAUGUCACGAAUGUUUGGAGGAUUUUUAAGAGGUAAAUACACCAGUGGUACUAGAACUUGCUAUGAAUGUUCAUUUUAGUGCCUGAAGUUGAAAAAUAUGCCAAACAAGUUCUAUAACUUGGCACGACAGUGCAAAUACGGUGCUAAUCUCAUCUAUAAAUGUAAAGUGCGCUGACUUGACAGUGUAUGUGGCUGAUGUGGCAUGGAGCCCACUUAUAAAUAAGAAACAAAAUUACUAUAAUACUUUAUAUGUCUCUAUGACUAAUGGGUCCCGGCUGUCAGGGAACUUAAAAUAAAAAAUCGCUCAGGCAGGACUUGAACCUGAAACCUUGAGCUAUCAAGCAGCCUGUGCUGGCCACCAAGCGCCCGCUAGAAAAUAUUGUCAUGGAGUCUCCUAAAUUUUGAUGUAGUGUUGUCAAGCAGCCUGUGCUGGCCAUAUGCCUACUAACAGCAUGUUAAUUGUUCUUAAAAAAAAUGUAAAAAGUCUGUAAAUUAUAACGGCAGCAAUACAAAUACAGUUCAACUAUUCAUGUUAUAAAUACUCUACACAAAACUAAAGUAACAAUCUUAAAAACAAAUUAAAAUUUUAAACUGUUCACAUAUUAUUUAAAUAUAAGCCAUGCCUGUAAAAAAUAUUAUUCACUAAACAUUUUGUUAUUUAGUACACUUUUAAAAUUUUAAUCCAUCACAGUAUAUUCUAAAUUCUUGUACUAAGUAAAAAAUUUAUAAACAUUCAUGGAUUAUAUUUAAAAUAGUGUUUUUCUAAAAAAAUAUGUGAAUAUUUUAAAAAAUGCAGGAACAUUUUUUAGGAAGAUAUUUUAUUGCACGCCGUUAUUUUGUGUGUGUGUGUGUGUGCAUGAAUAUUUGUGUACCACGAGCUUAUUAUUUAUGUACCACAAAUAUUCGUAACCGGCAGUGUGGCCUUGCUUAUGGACUUUUUUUACAAAUAAUAGAGGCAGGCAUUAGCUUUAGGUAACCCGAUCAAUUCCUAUCUGGCACCAUUUUUUAUUUUAGUUUCCCUGAUAGACGGGGCCCACUAGCCAUGCAAACACUUAACGUAUACGGAUGGAAUUAGCAUCAUAUUUUUAUGUUUGUGUCAAGUUUUAUAAAUAGUUCGGCGUAUUUUCAAAUUCGAGCACUAAACUAAACAUCCAUGGCAAAUUCAAACACCACUGGUAUAUUACCGUAAUGAAAACAAUGCUAAAAAUAUAUCAAGCUUCUUUUGAAAAUUAUUUUUUUUAAUAUAAAAAUAUCACUUCUAGAUGCAGUAACAUGCGUAGACAGACCAUACUCAACCUAAAGUGACAUACGCAUCCAAUGAACACACAUUAGUUCAUAAAUACUCUGCAUCCAAACAAAUCUCGCACAUUUCACCAAGACGAAACCAACAUGAAUGUCAGCACAAGAAAACCAUGUGGCUAGCAAAAAGAGUAAAAUUUGAUUACUAAGAGCAUCUCUAGCCGAUCCCCUAAACAAUAUAAAAGUAAACAGCUAAAUAAAGUUAGUGAAGUAAAAUUUACUUCUUUAUAGGUUGCCGGACCUAGCCGAUUCCCUAAAUAUAGUGAAGUGAAAAAAUUAGCAUAAGUUUUUCUAUCCUAGCCACAGGAACUUCGAACACUUACACAAUAUAUCAUCAAGCACUCAAAUUUUUGAAGAUAAACAUGCACAACAUAUAAACCAUUCACAAGCAUAAAGUCAUCACUUCACCGAUCAAGUUUGAUCCAAAAUCAUCACAACAUAGCAUGUUUUAUGUUGCCGAUUGAAGCUAACCAAUGGCAUGCACGAACACGAACUCAAACACCUUUCUUACCAAAGAAACCACCACCAUACACAUGCUCACCAUCAUCAUCACCACCAUCCUAUCAACUCACAUCACCGCCACCAUCCUCCCGGCCACCACCCUCUCGGCCGCUGCAAUCACCACCACCACCAUUCCGAAGAAAGACCUCCAUUGAGGUAAAGAUCUCCCCACAAGUGAGCUCUCAAUACUUUCUUGCGGUAUCAUCCAUUGUGGUUGGGUCCACGAACAUGAUAGCAAGACUUCGGCUUUCUUGGGAUCAUGAAGUAUCUCCUCAAGUGCAAGUUUAGGCUCCUACGUCUUCAACUUUCUCUCCUCGGCCACCAACUUAGAUUUUCAUCUCUCUUUCUCCAACAUCUUGAACUCAUCCCACGCCGAAUCAUCAUUGAGAUAAUCAAGCCCGAGACACCUCUAAAUACGCCGAUUUGGUCGUGUUCAUCUCCGCACUAGGGCAACAACAACAAUAAAACUCCAUCAUCAUCGGCCACCAACAAUCACCGCAAAAAACAUCGGCUGAAAUGAUUUUUUUUACCUCGUAGGCAUUUCCGUGAGCACUUGGCAGUCGCAACCCUUAUUGUCGGCUGCGGUAGCUGGACGCGAUGAAGCACUGGCUGUAUAGGUGGCCGGAGACGCCAUACGAGCCACCGGACAGGGAAGAGGGGCCGGAGUGGCCUUCUUCUUUGUGGCCUCCUCGGCAAGGGCCAACACCGCGGUUGUCAGUUUCCUAGGUCGCUUGCCGCCGACGGGAGCUGUGGAAGGGCGGCCUACCGUCCUUCGAGAGGUAGUGGCCACCCUCCCGGUCUUGGUACCAGCGGUGGUUGAUGCGUCUCCAACGUAUCUAUAAUUUUUGAUUGUUCCAUGCUAUUAUAUUAUCUGUUUUGGAUGUUUAAUGGGCUUUAAUACAUACUUUUAUAUUAUUUUUUGGACUAACCUAUUAACCGGAGGCCCAGUGCCAGUUUCUGUUUUUUUGCCUAUUUUAGUGUUUCGCAGAAAAGGAAUAUCAAACAGAAUCCAAAUGGAACAAAACCUUCACGAGGAUCUUUAUUGGAACAAACACAACCCAUGAGACUUGGAGUACAAGUCCGGAAGCCCGGAAGCUUCCAUGAGGCAGGGGGCACGGCCCCCACCCUCGUGGGCCCCAUGGAGCUCCACCGACGUACUUCUUUCACCUAUGUGUACUCUUAUGCCCUAAAAACAUCCAGGGGAGCCACGAAACCACUUUUCCACUGCCACAACCUUCUGUAUCCGUGAGAUCCCAUCUGGGGGCCUUUUCCGGCGAUCUGCAGGAGGGGGAUUCGAUCACGGAGGGCUUCUACAUCAACACCAUAGCCUCUCCAAUGAUGUGUGAGUAGUUUGCCACAGACCUUCGGGUCCAUAGUUAUUAGCUAGAUGGCUUCUUCUCUCUCUUUGGUUCUCAAUACAAAGUUCUCCUUGAUGUUCUUGGAGAUCUAUUCGAUGUAAUAUUCUUUUGCGGUGUGUUUACCCAGAUCCGAUGAAUUGUGGAUUUAUGAUCAAGUUUAUCUAUGAACAAUAUUUGGUUCUUCUCUGAAUUCUUAUAUGCAUGAUUUGAUAUCUUUGCAAGUCUCUUCGAAUUAUCGGUUUAGUUUGGCCUACUAGAUUGAUCUUUCUUGCAAUGAGAGAAGUGCUUAGCUUUGGGUUCAAUCUUGCGGUGUCCUUUCCCAGUGACAGUAGGGGCAGCAAGGCACGUAUUGUAUUGUUGCCAUCGAGAAUAAAAAGAUGGGGUUUAUAUCAUAUUGCUUGGGUUUAUCCCUCUACAUCAUGUCAUCUUGCCUUAAGCAUUACUCUGUUCUUACGAACUUAAUACUCUAGAUGCAUGAUGGAUAGGGGGCGAUGUGUGGAGUAAUAGUAGUAGAUGCAGAAUCGUUUCGGUCUACUUAACACAGACGUGAUGCCUAUGUUCAUGAUCAUGCCUAGAUAUUCUCACAACUAUGCGCUUUUCUAUCAAUUGCUCGGCGGCAAUUUGUUUACCCAUCGUAAUACAUGCUAUCAUGAGAGAAGCCACUAGUGAAACCUAUGGCCCUCGGGUCUAAUUUAUAUCAUAUAAGUUUCGGAUCUACAAUUCUAGUUUACUAUUUAUUUUAUUUUGCAAUCUUUACUUUUCAAUCUAUACAAUAAAAAUACCAAAAAUAUUAAUCUUAUUUUCUUUAUUAGAUCUCUUCUUUGCAGGUGGCCAUCAAGGGAUUGACAACCCCUUUAUCACGUUGGUUGCAAGGUUCUUGAUUGAUUGUGCAGGUGUAAGUGCAUCUAGUGCCCCUUAGUGAUUUUGGUGUAUUGAAGACUUAUAGGUUAAGGGACUAAUGUGUUUGUGAGUGUACACGGGUCUAUAAGUCUAUGAGGAGUUUGAUAUUUACAGAGAAAGUCGACCCCUAAAUGAAGUUCUUCGACUGAAGACUUUGGAUUUGCUGAAGACUUUCUGAAGACUUUGAAAGUGAAGAAGUUGGUGUGACCCUGAAGACUUGGUAUUCAUUUGAGGAACAUGAAGCGUGAAGAUUUUUGUUUUCGUAAUUUCAUUUUCUAUUUCUUGAGUCAUAGGAAACACCGUACGGUUAAAGGGGGUCGAGGAAAUACUAAGGAAAAAUUUCCAUGUGAUGCUCAACUCAAAAUCCUACACCUACCAAUCCCUUCGAGUGAAGCCAUUGGAAAUCCCAUACAGUCCAGUCAUAUUCUUCAGUGACAGAGACGAAGUUCUUCUGGUCUCUGAGGAAUUUGUUCUGACUGAGGAGUUAGGAAUUCGCCAGUGCGGAUUGCCUACACAGUGAGGAACAUGAUAGCCCUGAGGAUUUUGCUACUCAAAAUUCCGACCGUUGCUGUGCUAUGCGCCAGCUGUCCCAAAAUAUCUAUCACCUAACAGUCAUAUCAUUGAAGGGCAUUUAUGUCUUGUCAUGUCGGGCUGCUCCGUAGGCUAUAAAUAGCCGCCCGGCCCCUACAACCACUAGUUGGUUGGCUGCUCCGAGAGAAACUAACACUUGUCAUUUGAGAGCAAGCCAUCCUCCGAGGACUUUGAGCGAAAAUCAUCAAGUGAGGAAAACCCAAACCCAAACACCUACAAACCCCAAGUGAUUGAGCAUCACUGAAGAGAUCGAUCCUGCGUGGAUCCGACGCUUGUUACCUUUGAAGACUGUGCUUCUUCUAGACGGUUAGGCGUCAAGGUCUAGAGCAUCCAAGAGGAAUUGUCGCCGAGUGACCAAGUUUGUGAAGGUUCGGAAGUCACCUGAAGACUUACCAUGAGUGAUUGGGCGAGGUCUGUGUGACCUUAGCUCAAGGGGAAUACGGUGAGGACUGAGUGUCCUGAGCUGUGUGUUCAGAACUGGGUGUCCGGGACUGUGUGUCCUCAGGUUUAAAUACCUAGCCGCCCUAACCAGAUGUACAACUAAGACAACAGUUGGAGCUGCUCUACCAAACCUUUGUCUUCACCAAGCUUACUGGUUCUAUUUCCUCAACUCUUUCAUUUCCUCAUAACUGUGUUGAGUGCUUGUUCAUAUCUGUGCUUGAAGACUUUGACUGAAGAUUUUCUCAAAUUCCUUAGUUCAAUUUCUUCAGUCUGUUUGUCUUCAUCCUAUGUUAUCCUGUGCUUACACUUCCUGUACUCUGUGCUUGUCUUCAUUUCUUCAUGAUGACUAUGCUUGUGUUCUGUUAUGUUUACUUUUGAGUACUUAUUCCGCUGCUAGUAGUUCUUCGCUAAGGAAUUUCCUCACCUGUAAAUUCCUCAGUGAAGAUAAAAAUCACCUAUUCACCCCCUCUAGUCGAUAUAACGCACUUUCAAUUGGUAUCAGAGCAAGGUACUCCCUUGUUCUGUGUGAUUUUGGUUUAACCACCUAGAGUUUAGUUAUGUUGACCGCAGGUAUGAAGAAAGUGGCAUGCCCCAUCUUUGACGGUCACGAGUAUCCCAAGUGGAAGGCCAUGAUGAAGAAGCGCCUCAUGGCGAUGAACAGCGAGCUGUGGACCGUCACUGAGAUUGGUCUGACCGAUCUGUGCAAGAUGGCGGAAGCUGAUGACAUUCGCAAGUACACUCUUCUCAACCUCACGGCGAAGCAUGUCAUCUGCUCCUGUCUGUCUCAAAAUCAGUUCAGGAGUAUCAUGCAUCUCGAUCAUGCGAAGCUUAUCUGGGACCGUCUCUCUGAGGUCUAUGAAGGUCAUCGAACAUGUCAUGAUCCUUGGUUUGAGGACUUCAAGGAAUCUCUCAAAGCGAUGACAUUCAAACCAGAAUCAUCAUCUUUUGCAUCGUGCCUUAUGGCAAAAGAUGCUAAGGUAACUGAAUGCUACCUAUCCGAGUCUAGUGAUGAUGAAUCUGGUGAUGAGUUUGGACCCAGCUAUGUCAAACUUGCUUCCCUUGCCACUAAACAACAAAGAGCUUUGGAAAAAGUUCAAUACAUGCUAAAUAAGAGCGAUGAUAUGUUGGGUGAAGAAAUGGAUCAGUCAAAAGCUUUGGCUAAAAGUAUUCAGAGACAUCAUACUAAGUAUGACACCCUUCAAGAUCAACAUAACACUCUUUUAUUUGAUCAUGAGAAGCUUUCUUAUGAAUUUCUUCAAAGAAAACAAGAUCUUGAAAAGGUAAGAGUGAGUUAUGAAGAUCUCCAGAAGGAGCGCGAUUCAUUACUUGCUCAACAAAUCAACGCUUUUCAAGAAGAAUUUGUUCCUCCAUGCUUAAAGUGCAUUGAACGUGAAACUGCUAAUUCUUCACCAGAAUGUUCAAAUGCUGCUAAUGUUUCAAAUUCUUCACAUGCCUCUACUAUCACCAAUUCCUCAUCUGAGGACACUGCUAGUAUCACUGACGAUGCAGGGCUGAAGGAAUUGUACAUGAGAGGCAUGUACAAAAGCCUCAAAGGGCAUCAGACUCUUUGUGAUGUGCUUAAAAAGCAGAUCCUCAACAAGAACCCUAGGAAAGAGGGUAUUGCCUUUGAGAGAAAACUUAAUGCUGAUGGUACAUAUUGGAAGCCUAAGCAGUACCCCAAAACUACAUGGGUUGCUGCAAAGGGACCUCCAGUUGAUCCAUCUAACUUAUCUGGAUUUGCAUGUGAAUCUCCUCGUUCUGAUGAUGAGUCAUUUGACUCCAACUAUAAACUGUUCAAAAAUCAGAAUGGUGAAGUAUUUGCUAGAUAUGUUGGCACUAACUGCAGGAACGGUUCCCCUAUGAAGAAAAUCUAGGUUCCCAAAAAGUGCCUUGAAAACCUUCAGGUGAAUGUCCUCAGGACACCUCCUGUGAAGAAUAGGAACCCCAGAGCAAAUUCUUCAUAUGUACCAAAUUCGUCAUAUGGAUCCAAGUCCUCAUACGGACCAAACUCCACACGAGGAUCAAAUUCCUCAAAAGGAUCAAAAUCCUCAUACGAAUAUCAUCGUGCUAACAACUCUGUUUCGUAGGGAAGAGCUAAGGGCUAUGAAUAUGAGCGUUAUUCUUCUAAUCAUCAUGUUCAUAAGUCCUCGAAGAAUUUCUCUGCUUAUUCAUAUGCUUAUCCUAACUCCUCUUAUGUGAAACGAAAUGGACUAGCUUCUAUGCCACCUUUCUCGUAUGGAGCUCAUAGAGUGAUGAACUCUUUGCCACCCCUUCAGAUGUGGGUGGUGAAGAAAAGGAACUAACCCUUUCUGCAGGGUCAGGUCUCCAGACGUACGUAAUCGUCUGAAAAAUUUGCUGGAGACCUGAGUAUGCCUGAAAGGACGCUGGCUAAUCAUGAAGAAAUGAACUUUCAUUUCUCACGUCCUCAUACUUCUUUAUCUGUUCUAUUGCUUGAUGAAAUUAAUUUGAUAAAUUGAUGUCAUAUUCUUCACUUGUAACGCCCUCGAUGCGGCUAUAUCUCCCACGUGUCGAAGCACGACUUAGAGGCAUAACCGCAUUGAAAGCAAUGUCGCAAGUAAGGUAAUCUUCACAACAUCCCAUGUAAAUAAAUAAAGGGGAAAGGAUACAUAGUUGGCUUACACUCGCCACGUCACACAAAUACAUAAAUAAGUCAUUACAUUCAUCCAAUACACUCAAGGUCCGACUACGGAACCAAAAUAAAGAUCAACCCCCAAAUGCGACAAAGUCCCCGAUCGCCCCAACUAGGCAUCACUACUGAUCAUCUGGGAAAGAUACAUAGUAACGACGAGAGUCUUCAUUGAACUCCCACUUGAGCUCGGUCAUAACAUCUGGAGCGAUAUCAUCGGUCAUAACACGUAGUAACAAGCAUGACAAAAGUGCAAAAGAUUACUGGUUAUAGACUUAGUGAAAUUAACAGCAUGCCAGGAAUUUAUCAUUAGGAAGCAAUGUUUAGAGCACGAAAACUACAUGCUACAGGAACAUAUCAGGGCAAAGAAAGACAUGGCAUGAAGCUACUCAAAGCAUAUAAGAAAAGUCCCUUAGUGACCAUGAGCCAAAAGGGAUCAGAAAAUACAAUUGCAAGCAUGUGAACAUAGCAAAACAUAAACAGAUUCAGAUUUAGUGAAAAAACUGGAGCAUGGCAAAACAGAUAACGAGUAGGCAUGUUUACGAGCUCGAUGCACUCACUACGAGGCAUUUUAUGACAAGCUAAGCAUACACCCAGCAAAUAGACAUGACAUAGAAGCUAGACAUGGCAAGAACAAUAUCAUAGCAUGCCCGGAUCAACAACAACAAGCUUGGCAAAAUUGCAAAACAUGUUAACAAUCUGCCAGGAACAUUUUAUAGCAAAAGUAGAGCUCGAUUGACUCAAGCUAGGGUGUUCCAUAAUUUCAAACAAAGACAUGGAUGGAUAGACCAAUACAAUAUCUACAAAACAUCCUUACUGAUCAUGCUCAAAAGAGGCACGGAUCACUAGAAAACAACAUGAACAUAUGGCAUAAAAAUAAUGAUAGGGCAAGGACUUGUGAAAUUCUAAGUCCCUGAAAUCAGCAUCAUUGAGUAAGCUACUUUGCAUGCUUGUGCUAGUCACCACAAAGAUCACAAAAAUAAAUGGCAUACACCCUGUAAAGAUGGCAUGGCAUACUUCAAAACACAUGUAGAGCUCAUGAUCAUAGCAUGCACACAUUAAUCAUGGCAAAAAUGACAAAAGGGCAUUUGCUGAAACAGAUCUGAAACUAUGAUCACAUAGCCCUCUUCCAACAGUAUUUCGGGCACCAAUAUGAGCUCAAAUGAAAAUGAUGCAAUGAGAUGAAAUGAUGUACUCUUCGAGACGAACAUUUUGAUAUGCUACACGCACGAAUCGGAGCCACGAUGAGGAAGUUAUGGCAUGGCAAAGUAUGCAAAAAUGCUAGGGUUUCAUGGGAAAAAGUCAACCGAGAUUUCGAAUCUGAGAUCCAGAUCCAGCCGAUGCACUGUAGCAGUCCGAGGAUGAGGUCGCCGUAAAUGGCCGCGGUGGUGGCCGGACUUGUCACCAGAGUUGGUCGAAGAUGGCGGAGCUCGCCGGAGCUGGCUGGAGGAGGACGAAGAGGUCGCCGGGCGGCGAGGCGCGGCUCCCACGGUGGUGGUCGGUGCACGGGGCGGCAGGCGCUGAUGCACGGGGCGGCGACGGUCGGGUUCCGGCGAGGUGGCCGGCGAUGGGGCGGCGUGACGGCGAAGCAGCGUCGGGCGGCGGCACAGACGAAGGAGGAGGCGGCACAGUGAGGAGAGGAGGCGCGGGCGCGCGCGGGCUCUCGGUGGCCCGGCGUGGGCUUCGCGGGCCUCAAGCGGCGGUGGGAGGCGGCCGGGGGCCACAUGGCAGCGUGCCACUGGUUGCGGGCGGUGGCGCUGCGGUGUGCGGCGCGGUUCGGGCAAUGUCCGGCGCGCUGCGAGGAAAAAGACUAGGGUUAGGGGAAGAAGAGACCCGGGAUUUGUGGAAGGGUCUAUUUAUAGAGGUAGAGGGAGUUAGGAAGCUCCAAAUGAGGUGCGGUUUGCGGCCACGCGAUCGUGAUCAAACGCUCUAGAUGAUGGAGGAGGUUUAGGUGGGUUUUGAGCCACUUUGGAGGGGUGUUGGGCUGUAACACACACGAGGCCUUUUGGUCCCUCGGCUAACCGUUGGAGUAUCAAACGAAGUCCAAAUGGCAUGAAACUGGACAGGCGGUGUACCGGUAGUAAACCAAGGCCGCAUGACAAGUCUCGGUCCAAUCCGAAAAUGUUUAACACCCGCACACGAGAAGAGGUAGAAUGGGACACCGGAGGACAUAGGAGCGCCGGAAUGCAAAACGGACAACGGGGAAGAUGCUCGAAUGCAUGAGACGAACACGUAUGCAAAUGCAAUGCACAUGAUGGCAUGAUAUGACAUGCAUGACAAAGAGAAAACACACGGAGACAAAAACCCAACAACGAGGAAAUAAUAUAACUUAGUUCCAGAAACGGCAAGAGUUGGAGUAAAAAUAAGGUAGGUUACAUCCGGGUGUUACAACACUCCACCACUACGAAAGGUUCUCGUCCCGAGAUCUAGGACUGGAAAAACUCCGGGUACUCAGAACGGAGGUGAUCCUCGCGUUCCUAGGUGGCUUCACGGUCGGAAUGAUGUGACCACUUGACUUUGAGGAAUUUGAUUGACUUGUUGCGAGUCUUGCGCUUAGUUUCUUCAAGAAUAGCAACUGGGUGCUCAUGAUAAGACAUGUCUUCUUGGAGAUCAAUGUCUUUGAAGUUGACGGUGCGGUCAGGGGUCUUGAAACACUUGCGGAGUUGAGAGACAUGAAACACGUCGUGCACGUUUGCAAAGUUGGAGGGAAGAUCAAGUUGAUAGGCGAGAUCGCCUCUCUUGCUGACGAUCUUGAAAGGACCCACAUAUCUAGGGGCAAGCUUCCCUUUGAUACCGAAUCGAUGAGUACCUUUCAUUGGAGAGACGCGGAGGUAGACAUGGUCUCUGAUCUCGAAAGCCAAGUCACGAUGCUUGCUAUCAUAGUAACUCUUCUGGCGCGAUUGCGUGGCCUUGAGAUUAUCACGAAUGACUUUGCACAUCUCUUCUGCCUCUGUGAUCAAGUCUUUGCCAAGAAGUUGACGUUCACCAGUCUCUGACCAGUUAAGAGGAGUACGACACUUCCUGCCAUAGAGAAUUUCAAAUGGGGCCUUGCCCGAACUCGCUUGGAAGCUGUUGUUGUAGGAGAACUCGGCAUAUGGAAGACAAUCUUCCCACUUCAUACCGAAAGAGAUGAUGCAAGCCCUGAGCAUAUCUUCGAGAAUUUGAUUGACUCGCUCGACUUGGCCACUAGUUUGAGGAUGAAAAGCUGUGCUGAAACGGAUGUUGGUGCCCAUGGCCUUCUGAAAAGAAUCCCAGAACUUAGAGGUGAAGAUGCUGCCAUGAUCUGAGGAAAUCAACUGCGGAAUGCCGUGCAGAGAGACAAUCCGGGAGGUAUAUAGCUCUGCCAACUGAGCUGUUGUGAUGGAUUCUUUGAUAGGAUGGAAAUGAGCCACUUUAGUGAGUUUGUCGAUGACAACGAAGAUAACAUCAUUGCCACGCUUGGAAUUUGGAAGUCACGAAGUCCAUCUCAAUAUGGUCAAACUUCCAUUCUGGAAUGGCAAGAGGUUGGAGGAGACCAGCUGGUCAUUGGUGUUCUGCCUUCACUCUUCUGCAUACAUCACACUCGUUCAUGAACUGAGCAAUCUCGCGCUUCAUUCAAGUCCACCAAUAUGACUGCUUGAGUUCAUGGUAUAUCUUUGUACUUCUAGGGUGGAUAGAGAGGAGUGAAUUGUGAGCCUCGUUCAUAAUGACUUUACGAAGGUCACCUUUAGGCACAACAAUGCGAUCCUUGAAGAAUAGAGUAUCCUUGUCAUCAAGACGAUAGCACUUGUACUUGGGUUGACUCUUGGCAAUCCCAAUCUUCACCUUCUUCACCAUAGCAUCAAGAAGUUGAUCCUCGCGAAUCUGAUCUUCCAAAGUAGGAGAGACUUGGAGGUUGGCGAGGAAACCUUGAGGAACAACUUGCAUAUUGAGUUUGCGGAAAGCUUCACAAAGCUCGGGUUGGUAAGGCUUGAGAAUCAAACUGUUGCAGUAAGCCUUCCUGGUCAAUGCGUCGGCAAUUACAUUGGCAUUGCCUGGAGUAUAUUCGAUACUCGGAUUAUACUCUUGAAUCAUUUCGACCCAACGAGUCUGCCUGAGGUUGAGAUUAGGUUGAGUGAAGAUGUACUUGAGACUCUUGUGGUCAGUGAAGAUGUCCACUUUUCGUCCCAAUAAGAGAUGUCUCCAAGUUAAAAGAGCAUGCGCAACUGCCGCCAACUCGAGGUCAUGAGUGGGGUAGUUCUUUUCAUUGGGCUUCAACUGGCGAGAGGUAUAAGCCACAACUUUCUUCUCUUGCAUCAACACUGCACCAAGACCUUGAAGGGAAGCAUCACAGAAGACCUCGAACGGUUUGGAUUCACCGGGAGGAGUCAGAACUGGAGUAGUGACUAACUUCUCUUUCAGGGUGUUGAAAGCGAUGUCACAUUCAGGAGACCAAACAUACUUGACGUGCUUUUGGAGAAGGUUUGAAAGAGGCUUCGCGAUCUUAGAGAAGUUCUCAAUGAACCUUCGACAAUAGUUUGCGAGCCCAAGGAAGCUGUGGAGUUGCUUCACGUUCUGAGGUGGUUCCCAAUUCACAAUUGCAGACACCUUCUCAGGAUUCACCGCUAUGCCCUUGGCAGAGAUGAUAUGCCCAAGGUAGAGAACCUCAUCGAGCCAAAACUCGCACUUUGAAAACUUGGCAUAGAACUGAUGUUCUCUGAGCUUAUCCAGCACCAAAUGCAAGUGCUUGGCAUGAUCCUCCUUGUUCUUGGAAAGGACCAAAAUGUCAUCGAGGUAGACCAAGACGAAGUCAUUUGUGUAGGCGUUGAAGAUGAAGUUCAUCAUGCGAGAGAAAGUCGGAGGAGCGUUGACAAGGCCGAAAGACAUGACAGUGUAUUCAUAUGAACCAUAGUUUGUUCUGAAUGCUGUCUUGGGGAUAUCUUGUGCACGAAUGCGAAUCUGAUGAUAGCCCAUACGGAGAUCAUGCUUGGAGAAUACUUGAGCACCUUUGAGUUAUUCAAACAGCUCAUUGAUGUUGGGAAGUGGGUACUUGUUCUUUAUAGUCUUCUUGUUCAAUGGAUGGUAGUCGACACAAAGUCGAUCCGUUCCAUCCUUCUUCUUUACAAAAAGAACUCCACAACCCCACGGAGAAGAACUUGGUCGGAUGACACCCAUUUGCUCUUGAAUAUCGAGUUGCUUCUUCAGCUCUUUCAACUCUUCAGGUCCAAGCUUGUAAGGACGUUUGCAAACAGGUUCCGUGCCAGGCUCAAGAUCGAUGACGAAUUCAACUGGCCGGUGCGGAGGCAUUCCUGGAAAGACGUCUUGAUAUUCGCAAACGACUGGAAUUUGAGAGAUGGCAUCCAGCUCUCCUUUCUAAUUGAGAGAAAAUGGUCAAAUGGUAUCGUCAUUAGUGGCAAAGACGAUUACAUCCUCAGACGAAUGAGUCAAUUGAAUCUGCCUGACAGCACAAUCAAGCUGAGCCUUGUGCUUAGAAAGCCAGUCCAUUCCAAGAAUAAGAUCGAUAUCCGAGUUACCAAGGACCAUUGGAGAAGCCAGAAACUUGAAAUCACCCAUCAUGAUAGAAACAUCCAGGACUAUCGAGGUAGCCCUCAUAGACUUAGCCGGAGAAACCACUCCCAUAGGUUUACCCAACAUUUGUGAAAUGAAGUCAUGCUUGGAAACAAAUGAUCUUGACAUGAAACAAUGUGAUGCACCAGUAUCAAAAAGGACUUUUGCAGGAGUAGAGUUAACUGGAAAGUUACCCAUGAUGGCAUCUGACGAGUCCUCUACGCUAGCUGCAUUCAACAAGUUGACCUUGGCGUGCUUGGGGUUAUGCUUGACCACUGCAUUGCUAGCAGAUCUCACAGGAGGAGGAGGAAGACGCCUCUGAUUGAAGCAUUUGUUGGCAUAGUGACCCUUCUACUGACACUUGUUGCACGUGACCUCCGAGAGCGGACGGUGAUAUGGAGCACUUGAUCUUGAGCUUGAGACGAAGUCUUGUUCUGAAAGCCAGGGUUGGGUGGGUGGGAAGAUCCAUUGCCACCUUUGCUCUUCUGCUGAUAAGGCUGAUGGAACGGAGGAGGAGACAACCAAUACUUUUGCUGCUUAGAAGCCACUUGAGUUGAGGAAGAAGGAGUUGCAUCUCUGACUCGCUUCUUGGAAGCAUCGCACUUGAGUUGAGCAGUCUCUUGCUUCAUUGCCAUAUUGUAGAACUCAUCGUACUUCUUCGGCUCAAAAAGGACGAGAGCUAGUUGGAGAUCUUCUCUGAGGCCACCCCUGAACUAAUAAAUCAUGCUCUUCUUGUCAGGGACGUCCUGCUUGGCGAAACGAGCGAGCCUCUGGAACAGAAUGUUAUACUGGUAAUCAGACAAGCUGCCUUGCUUCAGGUUGCGGAAUUCCUCAUGCUUGCUUUCAACAACACUCUGAGGAAUGUGAUGAGCUUUGAAGUCUUGAUGGAAUUCAUCCCAGGUAAUCACACAGCCUCCUCUGGAAUCUUUGUAUUGCUGAAACCAUUCUGCAGCUUGGUCUUUGAGUUGGAAGGAGGCAAACUUGACAAAGUUCUCAGGCCUGACGUUACUGCACUCGAAAUGCUUGCAUAUAUCCACGAGCCAAUCAUCAGCGUCUGAGGCCUCGACAUAGUUGCUGAAGGUCUUUGGCUGGUUAGUGAGGAACUGGUUGAGUGUAGCAAAUUGAUUCUGAUUGUUGCCAUGGCCAUGAUUCCCUUGGUUGCGCUCUUGUAGAAUUUGCAUGAUUAGCUGCAUGUUUGCAUUGGUAGCGGCCAUCAUAGCUUGCCAUGCCUCCGGAGGUGGAGGUGGUGGUGGCGGAUCCUGAUUCUGAUUCUGACCCUUAGCAGGAGCCAUCCUGAAGAGGGUGACAUCCGUUAGCAUAUUGAAAGACAAAUAUUGAAGCUGAAUCCAACGGAUAGAAAUUGCAACGUAAAGUCUUCGCAUCCGAACAAAAUGAACGAAUGCAUUCCAAUCGAAAUGGUCACAUUUCCAUAAAUUGAGAAGCCACUUAGAUAGAGGUAGAAGAAUAAAACAACAAGGUACGGACAAGAACAAAUACUUGGUGAAGAUUACCCAAUCCCAAACCAAAUAUCCGCGGAAGAAGAACUAGAACUACAUUAAUUCCCACCUAUGAAACUCCCGAACCAUUCCGGUUAUGCAAUCAGGUGUUGGGGAUACAUGGGAAGUAUAAUAUCUCACCCAAAGCUAGCAAAACCUACAUCCAGCUGUAUCCAUCCUUCAACACAUAACCAAGAAACCUUCGGAAAUCAUUUACCUCAACCUUCGAAAAGCAUUCGUUAUACGAGUUAUGGCAAUACUCCCGAACUCCCGCCCCAGUACUGGGUGGCGUCGAGGUUAUCUCACCAACAACUGCAUAAAAGAGAUUUUCGAUGUCGGCGAAACACAGGUAUUCCAGAAUUGCAACGAUAAAAUUGUGACGACAACACCUCGGAGCUCAACUCCCCGGGACACUGCCACAACCCCUAAAUGUCAAGAGGCACCAAGAACAAUGUUCUCGUCACAAAACCAUCGGAACGAUUCCAAGAUACCCGCGUGAUCCUAAAAAAAUUAGUGAAAUUUGAGAAGAGAAGAGUCAAAACUCUAUGUCAGGAUGCCUCACCAGAGUGACGAAGGGACUGAGGAGUAAAAAGAAUUCCUAACUCUCCGACAUAUAUAAUUCCUAAAAGACUCAAAACAUUUUUCUAGACUCAACAACGACAACGAUUCGAUCAAGCAGGGGGCUCCUAAGGUCGGGGAAGGCUCUGAUUACCAACUUGUAACGCCCUCGAUGCGACUAUAUCUCCCACGUGUCGAAGCACGACUUAGAGGCAUAACCACAUUGAAAGCAAUGUCGCAAGUAAGGUAAUCUUCACAACAUCCCAUGUAAAUAAAUAAAGGGGAAAGGAUACAUAGUUGGCUUACACUCGCCAUGUCACACAAAUACAUAAAUAAGUCAUUACAUUCACCCAAUACACUCAAGGUCCGACUACGGAACCAAAAUAAAGAUCAACCCCCAAAUGCGACAAAGUCCCCGAUCGCCCCAACUGGGCACCACUACUGAUCAUCUGGGAAAGACACGUAGUAACGACGAGAGUCUUCGUCGAACUCCCACUUGAACUCGGUCAUAACAUCUGGAGCGGUAUCAUCGGUCCCUGCAAAGUUCUCAGAGCUGACUUGAUCCUCGUAAGCGUACUCAACGGGCUCCUCGUUCACGUACUCGUCUCUCGGCUCUACCCAAGCAAGAACAACAAACAAAAUAAACACAAUCAACCACGUGCAAUGCUCAAGCAACAUGAUGCAAACAUGGUAUGAUAUGCGGGAUGCGAUAUGUGAUGCAUAUGCAUGAUUUGGAAAGGAAUGAUUGAACCUAGCCUCAACUUGGAAAACCAAGAGUGCCACUGGAAAGAGUAGUUGAUUUCGGUCGAAACCGAUAUAAAUAUCACCGGAAUCGGAUGCACGGUUUGGAAAUGGCAAGCAAAACAAAUAUGGCACCGGUCUGCGAUUAACAGCAAGUAGCCUCCUAAAUGCAUCAAGAUAAAAAAGCUACUGCACUCAAACAUGGCAACCAAAUACAUGGCAGGGAUUCACUCAUAAUGCUUGACAAAAGAUUAACACUGAGCUACAGCUAAAUCACUCAUUAACAGGUUCAAACAAGCAUGACAAAAGUGCAAAAGAUUACUGGUUAUAGACUUAGUGAAAUUAACAGCAUGUCAGGAAUUUAUCAUCAGGAAGCAAUGUUUAGAGCACGCAAACUACAUGCUAUAGGAACAUAUCAUGGCAAAGCAAGGCAUGGAAUGAAGCUACUCAAAGCAUAUAAGAAAAGUCCCUUAAUGACCAUGGGCCAAAAGGGAUCAGAAAAUACAAUUGCAAGCAUGUUAACAUAGCAAAAACAUAAACAGAUUCAGACUUGGUGAAAAAACUAGAGCAUGGCAAAACAGAUAACGAGUAGGCAUGUUUACGAGCUCGAUGCACUCAUUAUGAGGCAUUGCAUGACAAGCUAAGCAUACACCCAGCAAAUAGACAUGGCAUAGAAGCUAGACAUGGCAAGAACAACAUCAUAGCAUGCCCGAAUAAAUAACAACAAGCUUGGCAAAAUUGCAAAACAUGUUAACAAUCUGCGAGGAACAUUUUAUAGCAAAAGUAGAGCUCGAUUGACUCAAGCUAGGGUGCUCCAUAAUUGCAAACAAAAACAUGGAUGGAUAGACCAAUACAAUAUCUACAAAACAUCCUUACUGGUCAUGCUCAAAAGAGGCAUGGAUCACUAGGAAACAACAUGAACAUAUGGCAUAAAAAUAAUGACAGGGCAAGGACUUAGUGAAACUCUAAGUCCCUGAAAUCAGCAUCAUUGAGUAAGCUACUUUGCAUGCUUGUGCUAGUCACCACAAAGAUAACAAAAAUACAUGGCAUACACCCCUGUAAAGAUGGUAUGGCAUACAUCAAAACACAUGUAGAGCUCACGAUCAUAGCAUGCACACAUUAAUCAUGGCAAAAAUGACAAAAGGGCAUUUGCUGAAACAGAUCUGAAACUAUCAUCACAUAGCCCUCUUCCAACAGUAUUUCAGGCACCAAUAUGAGCUCAAAUGAAAAUGAUGCAAUGAGAUGAAAUGAUGUACUCUUCGAGACGAACACUUUGAUAUGGUACACGCACGAACCGGAGCCACGAUGAGGAAGUUAUGGCAUGGCAAAGUAUGCAAAAAUGCUAGGGUUUCAUGGGAAAAAGUCAACCGAGAUUUCGAAUCUGAGAUCCAGAUCCAGCCGAUGCACUGUAGCAGUCCGAGGAUGAGGUCGCGGGAAAUGGCCGCGGUGGUGGCCGGACUUGUCACCGGAGAUGGCGGAGCUGGCCGGAGGAGGACGGAGAGGUCGCCGGGCGGCGAGGCACGGCUCCCGCGGUGGUGGUCGGUGCACGGGGCGGCGGUGGUCGGGUUCCGGCGAUGGGACGGCGUGACGGCGAAGCGGCGUCGGGCGGCGGGGUGGACGAAGGAGGAGGCGGCGCGGUGAGGAGAGGAGGCGAGGGCACGCGCGGGCUCUCGGGGGCCCGGCGUGGGCUUCGCGGGCCUCGGGCGGCGGUGGAAGGUGGCCGACGGCCACAUGGCAGCGUGCCACUGGUUGCGGGCGGUGGCUUUGCGGUGUCCGGCGCGGUUCGGACAAUGUCCGGCGCGCUGCGGGGAAAAAGACUAGGGUUAGGGGAAGAAGAGACCCGGGAUUUGUGGAAGGGUCUAUUUAUAAAGGUAGAGGGUGCUAGGAAGCUCCAAAUGAGGUGCGGUUUGCGGCCACGCGAUCGUGAUCAAAUGCUCUGGAUGAUGGAGGAGGUUUAGGUGGGUUUUGAGCCACUUUGGAGGGGUGUUGGUUUGCAACACACACGAGGCCUUUUCUGUCCCUUGGUUAACGGUUGGAGUAUCAAACGAAAUCCAAAUGACACGAAACUUGACAGGCGGUCUACCGGUAGUAAACAAGGCCGCAUGACAAGUCUCGGUCCAAUCCGAAAAUGUUUAACACCCGCACACGAAAAGAGGUAGAAAGGGACACCGAAGGACAUAGGAGCGCCGGAAUGCAAAACGGACAACAGGGAAGAUGCUCGGAUGCAUGAUACGAACACGUAUGCAAAUGCAAUGCACAUGAUGGCAUGAUAUGAGAUGCAUGACAAAGACAAAACACACAGAGACAAAAACCCAACAACGAGGAAAUAAUAUAACUUAGUGCCGGAAACGGCAAGAGUUGGAGUACAAAUAAGGUAGGUUACAUCUGGGGUGUUACAUCACGGAUGAAGUAUAUGAGGUCAUAAGUUGCACCAAUUCAUCUGCAGGAUGAUCAACCCAAAGCCACUGAGUGGGUCCUCGAUAGUGGAUGUAGAAAUCACAUGAUUGGCGACAAGAAUUUAUUGAUGGAUGCUCCAUUAUAUCCGUCGCAUCUGAAGCAUAUCAUCUUUGCCGACAAAGGCAAAAGUCAGGUAUUGGGUCUAGGUAAGGUUGCGAUCACAAAGGAUCGACACAUGGACAAAGUCAUGCUUGUCGAGUCCUUAGGAUACAACCUCAUGUUUGUCUCAAUGCUUUGCGAUCUUGAUAUGGUUGUUGUCUUUGGCAAGUACCGUUGUGUUGUGGUUAUGGAAGUUGACAAUUCCAAAGUCUUUGAAGGCUUUAGGAAAGGAGACAUGUAUAUUGUUGAUUUUCUACAGGACCACAACCAGCCGUGUGCCUACUUGCAAAAGCUUCAGAAGGCUGGCUCUAGCAUCGAUGACUUGGUCAUGCAGGCAUGAGGAAUUUGCACACGCUUGCGAAGAAGAAGCAUGUCAUUGGCAUCGAGAAUGUAAAAUUCCUCAAGGAUCACCUAUGUGGAGCGUGUGAAGCUGGGAAGAUGACAAAGGCUAAGCAUCCAGCAAAGACUAUCAUGACCACCACUCAUCCAUUUGAAUUGCUUCACAUGGAUCUCUUCGGUCCUAACCAUUAUUCUGCAGUUUCAGAUGAUGCAUCUCAAUAUGGCUUUGUUAUUGUUGAUGAUUACUCCGGAUACACAUGGGUACACACUGUUACUUACAAACAUGAAGUGCAGGAAGUCUUCAAACGAUUUUCCUCGAGGGCUUCAACCAUCUUUGGUGUGAAGAUCAAGCACAUCAGAAGUGACAAUGGAACUGAGUUCAAGAAUUCUGGUCUUGAUAACUAUCUUGAUGAACUUGGUAUUACUCAUGAGUUAUCUGCUCCUUAUACUCCUCAGCAGAAUGGCGUCGUGGAGCGCAAGAACAGGACUCUUGCUGAGAUGGCUCACACUAUGCUUGAUGAAUAUAAAACGCCUUGUUGUUUCUGGAUUGAGGCAAUUGAUACUGCGUGCCACAUCAUCAACAGAGUAUAUCUUCACAAAUUCUUCAAGAAGACAGCCUAUGAACUCCUCACUGAUAAGAAACCCAAUGUAAGUUAUUUCAAAGUCUUCGGUACUAAAUGUUGGAUUAGAGAUCCUCAUCACAACUCAAAUUGCACCGAAAGCACAUGAAGGUUUUAUGCUUGGUUACGGAAAGGACUCGCACACCUACUGAGUCUUCGACAACAUUCUUCACAAGGUUUUUGAAACUGUAGAUGUACGGUUCGAUGAAACUAAUGGCUCGUAAAGAGAGCACCUACCUACUGUGAUAGAUGAACCAGCACCUGAGGAAACUAUCAAGUUCAAGGCUACUGAGGAUGUCAUUCCUACUGAAGAAUCUGCUGAAGAAUUCAUUCCAGAACAUGAAGAACGUCGAGCUAAUGCACCUGAAGAAAAUACUGAAGAAAAUGGUGCUGAAGAAAAUGCCGAUCAAAGUCCUCAAUGACAACCAGCUCAUCCUCACAUUGCAAAAGAAGUGCAAGUUGAAAAGAUUAUCAAUGACAUCAAAGCGCCAGGUCCUCUCACGCGCUCAAAACCUUCACAUUUAUCUAACUUUUGUGGGCACUAUGCUUUUGUCUCUAUCUCAGAGCCCACUAAGGUAGAUGAAGCAUUUCCGGAGCCUGAGUGGAUUCAGGCCAUGCAAGAAGAAUUGCAUCAGUUCAAACUCAACAAUGUCUGGGAAUUGGUCAAACGUCCAGAUCCUCGCAAACACAAUAUUAUUGGCACAAAGUGGAUCUACCGCAACAAGCAAGAUGAAAAAUGGCCUUUUGGUGAGGAAUAAGGCACGACUUGUAGCUCAAGGCUACACACAGGUUGAAGAAAUUGAUUUCAAUGAAACUUUUGCACCUGUUGCUAGACUUGAGGCUAUUCGCAUAUUACUUUCUUAUGCUAACCAUCAUGAUAUCACUUUAUAUCAAAUGGAUGUGAAAAGUGCAUUCCUCAAUGGUAAGCUUGAUGAAGAAGUAUAUGUUUCUCAAUCCCCAGGUUCUGAAGAUCCAAAGAAUCCUGACAAAGUCUUCAGACUCAACAAGGCCCUCUAUGGCCUCAAGCAGGCCCCUCAGGCGUGGUAUGAUACUUUGAAGGAAUUCCUCAUGAAGAAAGCCUUCAAACCCGGUUCACUCGACCCUACUCUUUUCACUAAAUCUUAUGAUGGUGAAUUGUUUGUGUGCCAAAUAUAUGUUGAUGAUAUUAUCUUUGGCUGUACUAACCAACGUUAAAGUGAUGAAUUUGCCUAUAUGAGAAUAUCAAAUGUCUAUGAUGGGAGAGUUGAAAUUCUUCUUAGAUCUUCAAAAUCAUCAACAACGCAAUGGCAUAUUCAUAUCCCAGGAGAAAUACCUCAAGGAUGUACUGAGGAAAUUCGGCAUGCAAGAUUGCAAAGGCGUCAAAAUUCCUAUGCCCACAAAUGGCCAUAUGUGCACUGAAAAAAAUGGUAUCGACUUCGAUCAUAAGGUAUACCGCUCCAUGAUUGGUUCUUUAUUGUACUUAUGUGCAUCUAGGCCAGAUAUAAUGCUUAGUGUUUGCAUGUGUGCCCGAUUUCAAGCUACACCGAAGGAAUCACACCAUAAGGCUGUGAAGCAUAUUCUUCGAUAUCUAGCUCACACACCAACACUUGGAUUAUGGUACCCCAAGGGCUCGGCUUUUGAUCUCAUUGGAUAUUCUGACUCUGACUAUGCUGGUGAUCGUGUGAACCGCAAGUCAACAUCUGGUACAUGUCAUUUCUUCGGACGAUCUUUGGUCUAUUGGUCCUCGAAGAAACAGAACUGCGUAUCACUAUCUACUGCUGAAGCUGAGUACAUUGCCGCUGGUUCUUGCUAUGCUCAAUUGCUAUGGAUGAAGCAAACUCUCAAGGACUACGACGUCAACAUGAAGAAUGUGCCUCUCUUCUGUGACAAUGAGAGUGCCAUCAAGAUUGCUCACAACCCAGUUCAGCACUCGAAGACUAAGCACAUUCAGAUUCGUCAUCAUUUUCUUCAUGAUCAUGUGUUGAAGGGCGACAUUUCUAUUGAGCAUGUGAAGACUGAAGAACAGCUAGCCGAUAUCUUCACAAAGCCCUUGGAUAAGAAGAUAUUUAGUAAGUUGCGGUGUGAGCUAAAUAUCCUAGAAUCUUCGAAUGUUCUUUGAAAAGGACACUCAACCUAACACUUAUGCAAAAUUGAUGACUUAGAUGUGCAACACAUGAAGAAACGCUUUUCUUCAAUCAAUGAACAAUAACACUCUAAAUGUGAAGAAAUUAGCUAAGAAUUUGAUUCUCAGAACCCUACGAUAAUUGUAUGCGGUGUCUGAAAUCAUCAUUCUUAUACGGUGGGUCACGCCACCACCAAAAGUUGAAAUUCCUCAGUUGUUCAAAUUCUUCAACUUUGCUUUGUCUUCACUGUUUCCGUUGUUUUUCUUCAUUGGNNNNNNNNNNNNNNNNNNNNNNNNNNNNNNNNNNNNNNNNNNNNNNNNNNNNNNNNNNNNNNNNNNNNNNNNNNNNNNNNNNNNNNNNNNNNNNNNNNNNNNNNNNNNNNNNNNNNNNNNNNNNNNNNNNNNNNNNNNNNNNNNNNNNNNNNNNNNNNNNNNNNNNNNNNNNNNNNNNNNNNNNNNNNNNNNNNNNNNNNNNNNNNNNNNNNNNNNNNNNNNNNNNNNNNNNNNNNNNNNNNNNNNNNNNNNNNNNNNNNNNNNNNNNNNNNUAUGGCUACUUCUUCAAAUUGGUUUUUCUGCUAAGUGAAUGUGAUCGGACCCUUCCCCCUCUAUGCUAUACUCAACCCGACCUGUUCACAAAUUCUUCAUGUGCGUUCUAUUUGAAACUCGUUCAAAAUCUUCACUGUGUCCUUGUCAGCUGAAAAAAUUAUGAACAUAACUUUUAACUUAUCUUAUCCAAUUUUUUGGCAUUGCCGCUCAAACUGUUCCGCAUCCCACAACAUACUUAUCCACUCACCCACGAUCUAACACGAUCUCCACUUCUCAGUACGUGGGUGACACAUGUCAUGCGAAUGAGAAGGGUUAGGGGCACGUUCGUCCAAAUUCUUUGGGCGAACGGUUUUUCACCAUGGCUAUAAAUACCCCUCUCCCCUUCCUCACUUCUUUUACUCCGCUCGACCUCUCUUCAGCUCGAUCUUCUCAAACCCUAGCGCCGCCGCUACUUCAUCGUCGCCGGUGAGGAAGAGCUUCACUGCCACGACCUCGUCGCCACCGUACUCGCGCCGGCCGCAGAAAUCUUCACCCCGCCGCCGCCGUAGCUGUCUUCCUCCGCCAAGUUAGGGCGUGGAAGAUCCGCACUGACGAAAUUCACAUCUCCACACUCCAGUUCAUCGUGUUCUUUGUUCAGGGUAAUUAAAAGUUACUUUUACUGCCCUCGUUGAUUCGAAUGAUUAUCUACAAAAUCUUCAAAGGUGUUUUUCUUCAUAUCUUCACACACUAAAACACCUCUCAUAUCAUUUGUUCUUAAUUCAUUUCUCUAAGCUGCGAAUUUCUCUUCAAGAUUCCUCAAUUGUGCGGAUUUCUGAUCUGUACAACUCUGGAACCUAGGACUAAGAACGCUUAGUGAAAGUCUUCAAGACUUAUCUGGUCAAAUUCCUCAAACUUGUUCUUUAUAAAACCUUCUGAGAACGCAUAUGACCUCUCCAAAUUCCUCGCAACUAUACUCUGUUCACAGGUACUCAUGUCAGCUGCUGAAUCACUAGGUUCUCAUCAACUUAACUCAUUUGCAGCGUUCCUCGAAAAGAAGUUGCAUACUUCUUUAGAGAAUUCAAUUGUUCAAAUUCCUCAACUGAAGAAAAUGGAUGACGGUAAGAAGCCACAGAAAGGAGGAAAGAGGGCUGAGGUCAACACAACGUUUGAGAUCCCUGAUGAUAUAUAUGCUGGGUACUGCACACCUCCUGAGGAAAACAAAAAUCAGCGCAAGGUGCGCAUUCAGAAGAUAGAGAGGAGAUGGGCUAGAAAGUGGAGGGAGUACAUGAAGAAAUUCAUACUCAAUCCUCCAUGCCCAAGACCUCCAUUGGCACCUGGCCAAAUAGCUGAUCCCACCAGCCUCAAGUGUGGUGAGGAUUAUCCUGAUGAAUGUGCCAAGCGCCAAACCAAGUUGGCUAAACAAGCCAAAGAAGCUGUGAGGAUAUUCAACAAAGACUCUGUUGCUGCUGCUGCUGCCGCUGAGGCCUCUGUCAAGCCUAAGAAGGUCAUGUCAAAGAAGCCUGCGCACAAGCCAAGUGCUUCACCUUCAGUGGUUUUAAGACCAAGUUCCUCAGCAAUGCCCUCACGGCCAGAAUCUUCAAAGCCCUCAAGGCCAACUUCUCAUGCUGCUCCUGUUCCUCCCAAAUCCUCAGCUCUUCCAAAGUCCUCAGCUGCUCCGACAAAGUCCUCUGCACUUGUGCAUCUCGCCACGUGUCAAAGGACCACAGGCGUCUCAAUUGCCUCAGGAGUUUCAGCUAGUUCCUCAGCUACACCAAAUUCCUCAACGGGACCCUCUCUACUGAAGACAAAGGCCACUGCUGGACGAGGUCCUCGCCCCAGUCCUCAGAAGAAGCAGGUUGCCUUCCAAGUGUCGUCUGAAGAAGACGAAGCUGGUGAUGAUGAACUUGCUUAAAUCAUCAGAGAUAGGCAAGUCAGGGCUGCUAGAGCCAAGGGAACAGAUGUGCCACUACUUUUGGAUCCGAAGUUGAUCCUCGAAUACACUGAUGUUUGGCACAAGGACCCCAACACUCUCAUGUCUGACUUCUAGCUGACUCCUGGCCAAAGUCACAUGCUGACCGACUUCAUUCAAGAAGAAAAAUGGAAAUUUGAGAAGGCCAGGCAGAUCAAGAAAGCGCAGUACAAGAAGGAGCACUAUUUGAAGAAAAACAUUGUCUCUAUGACAACUGAAGAACUUGUCGCUGUUCAAACUGAGAUCAAGAAACUCAGUGAUGAAUUUGACGCAUACGCGCUGACUGGCUUGGAGCCAAGGUGCGCUUUGUGAAACUUGCUGAUAACUUCACCUCAAAUGUUGCAGCCCCAACGCAACAGGAAGUUCCUCAGGCUGAAGCAUCUGCUCAGCCGACUGAAAAACAUGCCAGCACCGCUGAUGAAAAUCAGGCUGCUGAAGAAAAUGUGAGUUCCAGGGCUGAUGACUGCAUUCCAGCCCCUGAAGAAAUUGCCAGGGCCAUCCACUAGUGGUGGGCCUGAAGAAAAUGAAGAAAUCAAGGCAACUGCAUCAGUUGUGCCUGAAGAAAAUCAACCAGAUUCCUAUGCUCCUCCUGCACCAACACCAACUCUGAUCUUUCGAUCUGCAUCAGAUGUGAAGAAGACCAAGGCUGCAGAGCGUGCAGCAGUGAAGAAAAGGAAAGCAUCAGCUACUUCACAUUCUUCAGCUCCGAAGAAGAUGAAGCCUUUGACCAGCUUGUUUGAAAAUCCCAUUGGUGAUGUUCCUCUCUCUACCAUGCCAUCAAAGGACCUUAUUCCUUUCGAUGAAGAAUAUGUGAUCCCCAGCAGAUCUGAUGAAGAAAAUCCUUCUGCUGCUUUGUCCGAGCAGUUGGAUGAAGAAAUUGAAGUGGAUGAGAUCCCUUCACACCUGUCAUUUCCUCGCCUCUGCCUUAGUUCACUGCUGAAGAGGCUGGAGUUGAAAAAAUGGAAGAUGAAGAUGUGGACGUUGGCUGCUCCACACCAGUGAUGAGUGAUGAAUUCUAGAAAAGUCAGCAUCCAAACUCUUCAAUGUUCACACCAUUGCAGCAAAUACCUCAGUCCCCUGUACAAACUGUUCAAAUGGGCUCUGAAGAAACUCACCCCACUUCAGCUGUACGAGAAGAAAUACCAGCCACUAGUGCUGAAGAAACUGCUGCUGCUGAAUAUCUGAAGACGCAGACUGCCACUGAAGAGGAACCAGAAAUUCCUCAGCCUGAAGAACCUAUGAUUGAGAUUUCUGAGGUCGUAUUGCAACUCACUGACACUCCUCUGCCCAAGCCAGAGGAUCAAUUCUCCAGGAAGCAAAAAUUCAAGGCUGAUGAUUUCUUCGGCGAGCACGUAUUCUUCACAGACUACAACCCUUAUGAUUCUACUCGCAUUAGGAAGGGGCGUUUCUGGACAGCCAGCCAAGCCAAUUUCUAUUCCUCAGUGCUAUUCAACAAAAACCAAAUCUUCUACCAUGAGCACAUUCCUCACGUGGAUAUGGAAUCUCUGCCGUGCUUCAUGCCAGUCCUCAGUGUUCUUCACGAUGCUGGACUGUUAAAUUUCUGCUCUGACAUCUGUGAUUGGAAUGAAGAACUGAUUCUUCAAUUUUAUUCGACGCUGCACAUCACAGGAGAUUCUGAAGAUGUGAAUUCAUGGGUGCUGGACUGGAUGUCUGAUAACACUCACUACACAGCACCAGCUACUGAAUUGCUUCGUGCCUUACCACUCAGUCCUCCCCUUGAAGAAGCUCAUUGCAUUUAUAGUGAACCUGAGCUUACAAAUCACUACAUGCAAGUUCUGAUGAAACCUUUGAAGUCUGGUCAGGCCCCAUGAACCAAAUUCCUCGUGAAGGAAUUACUAUAUGUGCCCAGAACUGUCUAUCGCAUUCUAACAAGGACAACGAGUCCCAUAAAAGGCCACGACUCAUGUGAUGAGGAAAUUGUUGGCAUCAUGAAGAAUCUGGUAUUCAAUAUCGUUCAUGGCAUUCUUGUCAAUUAUCACGAUUUCUUCAUGAGGACUCUGGCAAAUGUUGCACUUUCUCCGUUUGAGCUGAAGCCUUAUGCACCCUGGAUCAUGAAAUUCCUCAGGACAAGGACUUCACUCAACUACAAAGCUGAUUUCCAGAAUCAGCUCAGCUACUUGCCCCCAAUUGAAGUCCUCAAGCGGACCUAUUCCUCAGUUGAUGAAAAGGGCAAGGCACCAGCUGUUAUAGAUGAAGGCAUUCGUCCAUUGGAUGAACAGUUUCGCAAAGCUGCAUCUUAUUCCACCAAUGAUGACUCUGCCACACAUGACUCUGCCAAUGCACCCAAGUCUACUCCUCAAGCUACUGCUCCUCGUGUGAUGACUGACCGUGAGCUUCUGCUUAGUCUUCACCAAAAGGUGGAUCGAAACCAUAAAUGGGUUAAGCGUCAGUUUGGUUCAUUUCUUCACAACAUGACUGCUACCCACAAUGUAGUGAAGAAAAACCAUUACUACCUCCAUGAAGUUUUCAGUCGCACCUGGGCAAUACUGUCACAUCUGUAUGGCGAAGAAGAUCUCAAGAAAAUGGGUCUCAAGGAAGAUUUUGACUGGUCUGCACCUCCACCGAAGAAAUUCAAGAAGGCCAGGGUUCCUUCCUUGGUGGCCAGCUCAUAUUCUUCAUCGCGCGACACCGAUGAGAAUGAAGACUUGGAUGACACUGUAGCAGGCCCUUCCAUGACAAACGACCCCAACAACGCUGGCGCUCCUUCAUCAACUUGAUAUUCUUCAGGGGCGUUAGUCCUCAUAUUCGAUCCUGUUGGUCAUUUGAUGACAAAGGGGGAGAAUUUUGAGUUAGUCUUCAAGUGGGUCUUUCUAUAUGGGCAUUUUUAUUUGUUAAGUUACAACUCUUGUUCUUCUGAGACUUUAUUGGAUCGAGUUGUAAACUUAAACCCGAUGGUGCGCUGAUACUUUUGAUUUGUAUUCUGCAUGCUUAUUCCUCAUAUAUGCUAAUGCACUCAUGCUGAAUUACAUCAGUCACCAUAUUUCAUCAUGCAUUUCAAAUUCUUCAUUGUGAUAUGUCAAAUGCGUGUAUGAAUUACAAUAUAUAGGGGGAGAUCUCCAUGAUUCUACUCUUCAAGUUUGCAAUGCUUCAAAAGCAAAUACCUCACCGUGCACAUAUUCAGGGGGAGUUCUUCUAUAUCUUGCAAUCAAAUUCCUCAAUAUCAGUAUUUACACUUUAUAUGUUUAUCCCCGUUGAAAACUUAACCUAUAUUGUCAUCAAUCACCAAAAAGGGGGAGAUUGUAAGUGCAUCUAGUGCCCCUUAGUGAUUUUGGUGUAUUGAAGACUUAUAGGUUAAGGGACUAAUGCGUUUGUGAGUGUACACAUGUCUAUAAGUCUAUGAGGAGUUUGAUAUUUACAUAGAAAGUCGACCCCUAAAAAUGAAGUUCUUCGACUGAAGACUUUGGAUUUCUGAAGACUUUGAAAGUGAAGAAAUUGGUGUGACCUUGAAUACUUGGUAUUCAUUCGAGGAACAUGAAGCGUGAAGACUUUUGUUUUCGUAGUUUCAUUUUCUCUUUUUUGAGUCAUAGGAAAUACCGUACUGUUAAAGGGGGUCGAGGAAAUACUAAGAAAUUUUUUCCAUGUGAUGCUCAACUCAAAAUCCUACACCUACCAAUCCCUUCGAGUGAAGCCAUUGGAAAUCCCAUACAGUCCAGUCAUAUUCUUCAGUGACAAAGACGAAGUUCUUCUGGUCUCUGAGGAAUUUGUUCUGACUGAGGAGUUAGGAAUUCGCCAGUGCGGAUUGCCUACACGGUGAGGAACAUGAUAGCUGUGAGGAUUUUGCUACUCAAAAUUCCGACUGUUGCUGUGCUAUGCGCCAGCUGUCCCAAAAUAUCUAUCCACCUAAUGGUCAUAUCAUUGAAGGGCAUUUAUGUCUUAUCAUGUCGGGCUGCUCCCUAGGCUAUAAAUAGCCGCCCCCUACAACCACUAGCUGGUUGGCUGCUCCGAGAGAAACUGACACUUGUCAUUUGAGAGCAACCCAUCCUCCGCGGACUUUGAGCGAAAAUCAUAAAGUGAGGAAAACCCAAACCCAAACACCUACAAACCCCAAGUGAUUGAGCAUCACUGAAGAGAUUGAUCCUGCGUGGAUCCGAUGCUUGUUACCUUUGAAGACUGUGCUUCUUCCAGACGGUUAGGCGUCAAGGUCUAGAGCAUCCAAGAGAAAUUGUGGAUCGCCGAGUGACCAAGUUUGUGAAGGUUCGGAAGUCACCUGAAGACUUGCCAUGAGUGAUUGGGCGAGGUCUGUGUGACCUUAGCUAAAGGGGAAUACGGUGAGGACUGAGUGUCCUGAGCUGCGUGUUCAGGACUGGGUGUCCGGGACUGUGUGUCCUCAGGUUUAAAUACCUAGCCGCCCUAACCAGACGUACAACUGAGACAUCGGUUGGAACUGGUCUACCAAACCUUUGUCUUCACCAAGCUUACUGGUUCUAUUUCCUCAACUCUUUCAUUUUCUCAUAAUUGUGUUGAGUGCUUGUUCAUAUCUGUGCUUGAAGACUUUGACUGAAGAUUUUUCUCAAAUUCCUCAGUUCAAUUUCUUCAGUCUGUUUGUCUUCAUCCUAUGUUAUCCUGUGCUUACGCUUCCUGUACUCUGUGCUUUGAUACGUCUCCAACGUAUCUAUAAUUUUUGAUUGCUCCAUGCUAUAUUACCUACUGUUUUGGACUAUAUUGGGCUUUAUUUUUCACUUUUAUAUUAUUUUUGGGACUAACCUAUUAACCAGAGGCCCAGCCCAGAAUUGCUGUUUUUUGCCUAUUUCGGUGUUUCGGAGAAAGAGAAUAUCAAACGGAGUCCAAACAGAAUGAAACCUUCGGGAACACGAUUUUCUCAUCAGAUAAGACGCAGGAGACUUGGACCCUCCGUCAAGAAAGCCACGAGGAGGUCAUGAGGGUGGAGGGCGCGCCCCCCUGCCUCGUGGGCCCCUCGAAACUCCACCGACGUACUCCUUCCUCCUAUAUAUACCUACGUACCCCCAAACGAUCAGAUACGGAGCCAAUAAACUAAUUCCACUGCCGCAACUUUCUGUAUCCACGAGAUCCCAUCUUGGGGCCUGUUCCGGAACUCCGCCGGAGGGGGCAUCGAUCACGGAGGGCUUCUACAUCAUCAUCCAAACCCCUCCGAUGAAGUGUGAGUAGUUUACUUCAGACCUACGGGUCCAUAGUUAGUAGCUAGGUGGCUUCUUCUCUCUUUUUGGAUCUCAAUACAAUGUUCUCCGCCUCUCUUGUGGAGAUCUAUUCGAUGUAAUCUUCUUUUUGCGGUGUGUUUGUUGAGACCUAUGAAUUGUGGGUUUAUGAUCCAGUCUAUCUAUGAAUAAUAUUUGAAUCUUCUCUGAAUUCUUUUAUGUAUGAUUGGUUAUCUUUGCAAGUCUCUUCGAAUUAUCAGUUUGGUUUGGCCUACUAGAUUGGUUUUUCUUGCCAUGGGAGAAGUGCUUAGCUUUGGGUUCGAUCUUGCGGUGUCCUUUCCCAGUGACAGAAGGGGCAACAAGGCACGUAUUGUAUUGUUGCCAUCGAGGAUAACAAGAUGGGGUUUUUAUCAUAUUGAACUAUCCCUCUACAUCAUGUCAUCUUGCUUAAGGCAUUACUCUGUUUUUAACUUAAUACUCUAGAUGCAUGCUGGAUAGCGGUCGAUGAGUGGAGUAAUAGUAGUAGAUGCAGGUAGGAGUCGGUCUACUUGUCUCGGACGUGAUGCCUAUAUACAUGAUCAUACCUAGAUAUUCUCAUAACUAUGCUCAAUUCUGUCAAUUGCUCAACAGUAAUUUGUUCACCCACCGUAGAAUACUUAUGCUCUUGAGAGAAGCCACUAGUGAAACCUAUGGCCCCCGGGUCUCUUUCUCAUCAUAUCAAUCUCCAUGACUUUAUUAUUGCUUUGCUUUUUUACUUUGCCCUUUUACUUUUUACUUUGCUUCUCUAUACCAAAAAUACCAAAAAUAUUAUCUAUCAUCUCUAUCAAAUCUCACUUUCGUAAGUGACCGUGAAGGAAUUGACAACCCCUAAGCGCGUUGGUUGCGUUGAGCUAUUAUUUUUGUGUAGGUACGAGGGACUCGCGCGUAGCCUCUUACUAGAUUGAUACCUUGGUUCUCAAAAACUGAGGGAAAUACUUACGCUACUUUGCUGCAUCAUCCUCUCCUUUUCGGGGAAAUCCAACGCAGUGCUCAAGAGGUAGCAUGCUUGUCUUCAUUUCUUCAUGAUGAUUAUGCUUGUGUCCUGUUAUGUUUACUUUUGAGUACUUAUUCCGCUGCUAGUAGUUCUUUGCUAAGGAAUUUCCUCACAUGUAAAUUCCUCAGUGAAGAAUUCAUAAAAAUCGCCUAUUCGCCCCCCCUCUAGUCGAUAUAACGCACUUUCAGCAGGUACUAGGUGAAUUGCGUGUAGUCUCCUACUGGAUUGAUACCUUGGUUCUCAAAAACUGAGGGAAAUAGUUACACUACUUUGCUACAUCACCCUUUCCUCUUCAACGGAAGACCAACACAUGCUCAAGAGGUAGCAGUGGUAGCCGGUGUGGUGGGCUGGAAAAGAUUUUUGUUCCUCAAUCUUAUUUUGGUUGCGGCUCGGGGGUGGUUUCCGAUGGCGAUGCGCACGCGGUGGUGGCCGACGGGGUGGCGGAACAAUCUUGGCUACCCAUUCCAGCGAUGGCGGCGUUCAUUGGUGGCGACUACGGCACAUGGGGAGGCGGUGCCAGGAAGGAUGGAGCCGCGCAGGCAGGAGGAAAUGUGGAAGGGUAACUUUACUUAGCCACGUGGGGGCCAUGUGUUUUUAGGCGCCGCGGGGGUGAGGUGGGGGUGGGCGAUUUUGACCGAGUAAAAGUUUCACUCUGUUAUAGGAUUUAGUACUUCGGCUAGGUCUAAUUUAGAGGAGUGAACUCCAAAAUUUUCUUUUAUGGAUAAUGCCCUAAGUUACUAAAUAUAGCUAAAAAGGCCUUUUUUCUGUAUAAGCCGAAUUUUGGGCUUGAAAUUUCAUGUACAUGAAUAUUGUCUGUACAAGUUGUAAAAAACUCGAACGCCCCACGUCACCCCCUACCUGGGCGACUGGGCGGAAACCGAACCCUAGUCGCCGAGGCCUCACAGAUCACGUUCCUCCCUCCGGCGUCGCUAGAGGAAGCCUCCGGGCAAAGCACGUUGGCCGACGGCGGUGGCGGAGGUUCUCUCCCCUUUCGUGCCGGUUUGGGUGAUGUGGGGAACCUACCCGGAUCUGGGUCGCUAGUGGCGCGGCCUCUUGCCUCCGGCAACAUCGCGUGGUGGCGAGGUGGUGGUGGGUCGUGGCGACGAACCAAGGCUUGUGCAAGGGGGUGCUCAGCUAACUCCCGACGAUGGCUUGGGUGGUGGGAGGUCUCGUCGCUUCGGUCCUUGUGGAGAACUCUGGAUCUAGGUAGGCGGCGCCCUCGGCUGGCGGUGCUCGCCUGUGGAUUUGCUCCCCAUUGCAGACUCUCUCCUGCUGCAUUUGGUGGCUUGCCGUUUCGUCCGUCGGCCUCGGUACGUUGGUGGGGGCUGUUAGAGGUGGAUUCAGACCGAAGAAAACUCUGGAUGUCUCUCUCAUCCCGGCGGUGGCGACGAGCAAGGUCGCCGCUCCCCUACUUGCAAGUGUCCCCUCCUCUGCACUCUGACAAAAUGCCCGGAUGAAGACCCAAAAUCUUCUCAGAUUGGGCGGCGGCGGCACUACGUCUGUCAUGCCCUUCUUGGAGGCGCCGCCUAGGGUGUUCGGGUGCUCGAUUAGAGGUGUUCGCGUAGGAAGACUGGCACAGCUAGCACGUCGACAACAGGCGGGUCUCGGCAGCAUGGAGUAGCGGGGUUUCUACAGUGGACGUGUGUUGAUGGACGAGCGCAAGAUGAUGGCGUUGUCUGGCGUCGACGUCAGUUGUGUCUGGCACGGUCAAUGCGUUAGUACCUCCUUUGAAGAUGGAUCGGUGAAAGACGGUAGCGGCGGCUUCUGCAGCGUGCGCGUGCAGUGACCAUUGAGAGUGCGCCGGACAGGUGUGUGCCCCAGACCCGGUAAUGCGACUUGGUUGGGGCCUCCAGCUUUAGAUGUUAGGCUUUAUUGUGAGGUGUGGGUAUGCGGCUCAGACAAGUUACACCCCUUCAUCAAGUUGAUAGAAAUGAGAGUGAAUUUCACUUUUUACUCCUAAGUUUCACAUUUUUUACACUAAUUACCCUAUUUAAGAGAAUUUCAUCCGUCAUACCCCAUUUAACAAAAGUAUUGCCACACUUUACGGACGCGGAUUUUUAGGACAUGGUGGCAAGCGAGGACGUAAUCUGGGCAGUUCAUCCAUGCUAUGAGAUUAGCAAUUAAUAUAGUGAUUGAAUGAAUACACGAAUGAUACGUCAGGUCAAUUUGGCAAAUACAUGUACAUGUGUCGGUGGCUAGCCAUCUUAAAUGGAGCUGGAUACACAUGCAUAACCAUGCAAAAUACGGUCCUGGCUAUUCUGCCAUGUUAAUCUGACAAGACCAUUUAAAAUGCUGGUCAACAUGGUUUAAAGGUGUGUGUAUUCAAUACUUACGCCUUGAAUGACAUUUAACAAGUGUGGCCCUGCCGUUUUGGUUUUGGUUUUAGUUUGUUUUGUCCAAGUUCAUUUUGCGUGUGUAUAAUUCUGGUGUACUGUCGUAUUUGUUCAUCGGAGUUAUGCGUUCAUGAUAAUGACUGUUGCAUUACCUAGCACAUGAUGGGAUACCCCCUAAGAAUGAAUGUAAACAACAUACACACAUGUGGUAAAAAAAUUAUUCAUGGGAAGGUAACGCAAAACAAGUCUCUGGUUCUGAAAAUUAGGCAUGAUAGAUUAAUUAGCGCAGCUACGCAGGCAACUGGAAUACUCCUAGACUGUACAACCUUCUUCAACCUGCCAGCUGGGAAAAGAUAGAACAAGAAAGUGAUCAUGGCAUCAAGCUCCAGCGCUCGCGAGGGCAGAUCAUUUGCAGUUUGUUAUGUUCACUAGUACUAUAUGUAGCAAGACCUGUGAGAACAUACCCAGCCAUUGCAAUCGAGGCAGCAAAUCAGGGGAGAGAACACCCUCAUCGCUCUAUAUAUGGAUUAGAGCUGCUAAACUAAUGUGUGACAUACAGUAGUAGUUUGUAAAAUAGACAUUAAGUUUUACCUUGGUACUUGUAAUAUGAGUUUGUGGCUUUGUAUAUAAGAAUGAAGGGAAUAUUUUAGAUACUAGUAGCUUAUAUCAGACUUAUGCACAUUGUUAUGUCAAAAUUGAUUAUAGUUAUGCUAUACAUUGUUGUCAAUUUCACAUGUAGAAAAAUAAUAUUGCAUUUAUGCUUAACACCAAUUCAAUAUAUGCUAUACAAAAUGGAUGGAUUAGGAAAAUGCAAUUUGGACAAAAGGGAUGUCUUAUGCCAAAUAAUUUUCCCUAUUUGUUUAUUUCAUCAUAUGCUGUCAAAACUGUGUUACAAAGUAUAGAAAUGGUGAAGCAGUGCACACUUCGUACAGCUCUUACAUACACAGUUUGAUGAAGAGCGGUGCGUGCAGUACGAAGCUGGGCGACCGAUGCACGUGCUAGAGGCGAACGUGGUGCUUGGGUCGGAUGUAGAAACAUCUUCGCCAGGACUGGCGGUGCGCGCGGUUUACUUCGGGCGGGCGCGGAAUGGUUUGACGUGAGCAAAAAACACAAGAAAAACCAACUAUGUGACAUGACACGUGGACCUGGCAAUCGGGGCCCAUGGAUCAGAAUGCUCAAAAAAAUAGAAAGGGGUAAUUUGUGGCUGACACUUUUGUUAAAUGGAGUAUGACAGAUGAAAUUUUCUUAAAUGGGGUAAUUAGUGUCAAAAAGUCAAACUUAGAGAUAAAAAGCGGAAUUCACUCUCGAAAUAUCUACAGAUGUUGUCGAUAUAGUGGCUUCAGACUUUUUGUAUUAGUAGAUAAGACCCCGCGCGUUGCUGCGGGAAUUUGUUGCUUAUAAUGUUUAAUAUUAUAAAUAAACGAUUUCAUUGAAUAGUAGAAGCUCAUUGAAAUAAAAUGUCAGGAGGCAUAGUGUGUUGGGUCCGUUCUACCGAUGAAGGUGAAUUAAAAAGUCUCUCAUGUAAACCGUCAGAUAUGGUAUAUGGUUUGUAUUUUGUAGAUGAUAGAAUGAACUAUUCACAAAUUUGAGCACGUGCACAAAUACUAUAGUACAAAAUGAUUCCUAUACAAAUCCAAUCGUCAUUCAUGUGGUAUAUUCCACAAUCUUUUCUCGGGUUGCACGUACCGAUCCAAUAUAGUUACUAGGGGUGCAGGGCGGCACCCAAUCCGCCCCGCUUCAUAGGCAAAAUAGGUUUCAAUUAGUUAUAAACACCCCUGUUAGAUUUAGUUUAAUUUGAACUAAUGCUCUAUUUAUGCGGGACUAUGCGGGUUUUCUCUUUGUUCUAGGGAUGCUUAGACACAACAACACUAAUGGAAAUUUUGAUCGGAACAUGCAUAGACACCCAGUCUUCAUGGAGACAACACGGAUGAAGCAAAUCCACUACUUAAACUUGAAGAAGCUGUUAGAACACCCGAUCAAUAAAAGAAAUACUUUUUCUUGAAGAAAAUGAAUAGGGAGAAAAAACAUCAGUAACUUUGCCUAAUUACUCCCUCCGUUCCAAAUUACUCGUUGUAUUCUAGAUACAUCCAUUUCUGCGACGAGUAAUCCGGAACGGAGGGAGUACAUGAAUGGAACGGAGGGAGAAGAAAAUGAAGGCAAUUAAGGAGACGGAAGGAGCACAUAUUUUAUACCGACAAGGGAAACAAAUAGUACCGUGGAGACCGGAGAAGAUGCUUGCGCUGAGCAAAGGCUAAGGGCAUCUCCAGCCGCGCCCCCAAAAAGGCCCCCAGGCGUCUUUUCGUCCGUCGACGCCAAAAAAUCGGCCCAGUCGCGCCCCCAAGAGUCCAGUUUUCGCCGGCUCGGGCCGAAAUUGGCGCCGGCGGACCCAAUCCGCACCCGGCGCGCUGGGGGUCGCUCGGGGGCGCCGGACAAAUCAUUUUUGGCGCGAAGAGCCGCGGGCCCGCCGCGUCAGCGACUCUACCCUCUUCUCGCCCCUUCGUCGUCCUCAUCGCCUCGUUUCCCGCGGUGAAUCAAUGCCAAAACUACCGCGCGCUGCCGCGCCGGUCAGCCUCCAUUGAUGCCUCACGGGCGGCGCGCUGAAGGCUGGGCGGCGCGUUCCUCGGCCGCCACGCAAUCACGCCACGCGUAACGCGCCGGCCAAGCCUACCACGCGGCGCCUUCGCCUAUAAAAGCCGACUGCAAGCGCGCCAGAGAGAUUCACCCCGAUCAUCCACCGACGACGCGCUCAUUUCUCCCCCUUUCCUCCUCUCACCAUCACUAGUUGAGAAAGUAUGGCCGAGCGUUUCCCAGGCGACGGCGCGGCGGCGAAAGGAUUCGGGCGCCGUCAUCUGCAAGAGGACGAGGCUCGCCUCCUUUUCAAGGCCGAGUACCCGGUCCCGCCGGACAUGCGGGUGCCCGGGGCUUGGAGGAUCAGCGCCGGCGGCGUGCCGGUGCCACCACCAUCCACCGGGGCAACGCGGCGUGCGGAGAUCGCACGCAUCCGCGCGUCCCUGUCGCGGGCGGUGAGGGAGGGGCCACGGUAUGUCCCCGACAACCCGCUCUGGGAGCCCUACUUUCGCCGCCGUCACGCCGAGCAGCUCGAGGCCACCAACGACGUCGUGCCCUCCGGCAGGCUCAACUCCGAUGGCCGGCGCCGGUGGUGGGGCGUGCCCGGCCGCACGUUGGAGGCCUUCCUCGAGUACAUCGAGGGCGGCAACACGCCGCGCCUCGAGUAUCCCGCUCCCCCGUCCUUCUCACGCCGUUGGGGAAGCUCCUGGACGCCGAGGCGCAUGGAGACCGGGGCAUCCUCCUCCUCGUCCGGCGACUCUCCCUGCCUCCGCCUCCGCCCCGUCAAGCCGGAGCCCCAGGACACGCCUGUCAGCGCGCGUACCCGCAGCUCCGGCGGCUCUUCCUGCCUCCACCUCCGCCCCGUCAAGCCAGAGCCCCAGGACACGCCUGUCAGCGCGCGUACCCGCAGCUCCGAUGCCCUCGUCGAGCCCAAGGUGGAGUCCAGCCUCCCCCCGGAGUACGAGGAUAUAGCCCGGCGCGGCUUCUCCGACGAUGACGCCAUGCGGUGGUCGCGCUACGACUACGUGCACGAGGAGAUGGUCCGGCAACGCCGGGCCCUGGAGGAGAUCGCCGCCCGCAAACGUGGGCGCGAGGACGGGGACGGUGUCAUCGUCCUCGAUAGCGACGACGACGACGCCCCCGGACCGUCCAACCCGCCGCGCCAACCGGGGGAGGGAUGUAGCAGGGACGGUGGAGGCGUAGGCGGGGGCGACGACGACGACGACGACUACACGCGGUUCUACAGCCUCCUCGGCAUGUAGAACCGCAUGGAUGGGCGGCGAAGGAGACGGCGGGGUAGCCCGCGGUAGUUUUUUUUUAAAAAAAUAUGUUUAAAUUUAAACGAACUCGCCCAUGUUUGCGUUGCGUUUGCGCCGAAUUUAAACAUUUUAAAAAAUCUGUGAGGGGCCGCGACUGGAAAGCAUCACGUCCCAGUGCGCGGUUGAGCACCGGUACACCCUCAGGGGGCGAUUUUUUGCCUCUCCUGAAGGGCCAACGGCUGGAGAUGCCCUAAUGUGCAUGCGGCAUGGAGGCACUGCUGGCAUGCGGCAAGAGCGGCGCGGUGCCGGAGCUCACUUCCGGCGGCGGCAGAACAUGAGGGAAGAUGUGACGUGCAGCGCAAAAGGCUGCUGCAUUAGCUGGAAAGAAAAUGCGUUGAAAGCCUGAGAAAAGAAUUAGACGAUGCGUUUGGACUGACUGCCUCGUGCGUUACAUGAUAGUACAAAAGAGGAAACGACCAGCCGUGGGUGCGUACUGAACAAAAGUUGAAUCAAACGACUCAUUGGGCUGCUUGUCUUCGAUCGGCAUGGGUAACGGGAUGCAUGCAAGGCGCCCAGUUGCUUCCUUACGUGGAUGGCUUGCAUAUUAGGAGAAAUAAGAUAGUUUGCAUAUUAGGAGAAAUAAGAUAGUGGGGUGCUCCUAUUUAGUUAGAGUUAGAGGGUGUGUCUAGAACACAUCUAGAUGUGUUCUAAUUAUUUACACAUCUAAAUGAGUGAAUUAAGCAUAAAAAAAUAUCCUCACGAAUUUUAACGUAAGAUUAAUGACAUAGAAUUUAGAUGUGCAAUAUUUAUGACACAUCUAGAUAUGAUUUAGCAAAAUUGUUAGAUAUAGUAGAUUACUUAUCAAGAUCUUGAGUAUAAGCAGAUUGAUUGCACGCACCUAAUUAAAUGCUUUUNNNNNNNNNNNNNNNNNNNNNNNNNNNNNNNNNNNNNNNNNNNNNNNNNNNNNNNNNNNNNNNNNNNNNNNNNNNNNNNNNNNNNNNNNNNNNNNNNNNNNNNNNNNNNNNNNNNNNNNNNNNNNNNNNNNNNNNNNNNNNNNNNNNNNNNNNNNNNNNNNNNNNNNNNNNNNNNNNNNNNNNNNNNNNNNNNNNNNNNNNNNNNNNNNNNNNNNNNNNNNNNNNNNNNNNNNNNNNNNNNNNNNNNNNNNNNNNNNNNNNNNNNNNNNNNNNNNNNNNNNNNNNNNNNNNNNNNNNNNNNNNNNNNNNNNNNNNNNNNNNNNGUCAUGUCGACCUCCUUCGUCCCCGGCGGCAGCUCCCAGUCGAAAUGGUACACGAGGUUUGCUAGCAUCAUCUCCACGGCGGUGUUGGCGAAGUUUAUGCCGGGGCAGAUCCUCCGCCCGGACCCGAACGGCAGAAACUCAAAGUCCUUCCCCUUGCUGUCCACCGCCGCCGCGCUGCCUCCCUGGAGGAACCUCUCCGGCGCGAACUCGUCCGGCGCCUCCCAGGACGCGGGGUCCCUCGCGAGGGCCCACGCGUUGACCAUGAGCCGCGUCCCGGCAGGGAUCGCGUAGCCGUCGACCUCGCAGUCGGCGAUCGAGAGGUGGGGGAGGAGCAGCGGCACCGGCGGGUGCAGCCUCAGCGUCUCCUUCACGGUGGCCUUCAGGUAGGCCAUGUCUCCUAGCUCCUCCUCCGUGACCACGUCUUGUGCUGAUUCUCCUUCGUCGUCCUUGCCUACGGCCGCCGCCGGCGCACGCCUCCUCCUCACCUCCGCUUGCAGUUUGGCCAUGACGUGCCGGUUGUUCAUCAGCUCUGCCAUCGCGAAUUCCAGCACCAGAUAUGUCGUCUCUGUCCCCGCUUCAAACAUGUCCUGUUAAUUACCAUACCAAUAAAUUACCGCUGAAUGGAUUAAUCUGUCAGUUUUGCUGUAAGUAUUGGAGUAGUAAUUACUGCACUACUAUUUACCAGCAAGAUCGCCUUGACGUUGUCUGUGGUGAGGCCGUACUCUUCCUGCUGGGCGAGCAACACGUGUAUGAAGUCUGCGCUGGCAUCGUCCUGCUCGCGCAGGCGCCCGUGCUCGUCGAUGAGCUUGUGGAGCAGCUCGUCCCACCUCUUGCGAACCCUCCUAGCCCUGGGGCACACCACCAUGCCGGUGAACACGUCCGCCACUGCCAAGCUCGGGAAGUAGUCCUCGACGUUGAACCCUCCAAGCAGCGACAUGUUGAUGUCGAUCAGCUGGCGGAGCAGCUUGUUUCUGCCAUCGUCGCGGUGGUUUCUCCCGAGCACCGCCCGGCACACCACGUCGUUCGCGUACGAGCCCAGGAGCUCGCUCAUGUCCACGGGCACCGCGGUCUCCGCCGCGGCGCGAAUCUUGGCCACGGUUAUCCGCGCCUCCUCCUCGCGGUCGUGGCGGAACGAGUGCACCUUCUUGGCGCUGAGCAUGUGCGUGGUGACCACCUUCCUGGCCUGUCUCCAGGGCUCGCCAUAUGGCGCGAAGGCGACGUCGGUCCGCUUGUAGAAGAUGAUGUCGGCGACGGCGGAGCGCGACCUGGACGCGAGAGCGUGGUCGUGCGUGCGCAGGACGGCCGCGGCCGCGCGCGGCGAGGACACGACCACCGUGUUCACCGAGCCGAGGCGGAGGAGCAUGAGGUCCCGGCCGUGCUUACCGGCAAGGUCGCGGAAGGAGACGUGAGGGAGGGGGCCGACGAGGUGGAGGUGCCCGAUCACCGGGAGUGCGCGCGGAGGGGAAGGUGGGAGCGGCAGGUUCAACCGCUGCUUGCUCCUCCGGCUCCAUCUUUUCGCACCGAUGAGCAGUAGAACGAGUGGGACGAGGAACAGAAGAAGCAAUGCUUGUGCAGAUGUGGGUGCGCCAUGGAUCGCUGCUUCACCAGCCAUGGAUCCAAUCCAAGGCAGAUGGCGUACUGAUAAUGUGGUAUAAUCCUGCUGAUGCUAUGCCCCUGUAUAUAUGCACCGUUCUGCAUGUCUUUUAGUUUUGAGAUGGCACACCGCUCUUGCCGUGCGGUGGACCGCUUUGCGUGCCAGCCUCUAAUUUCGCAGAAAAUAUCUGGUCGUAUGUGUGAUCAGCAAAAUCGAUUGAUCGAGUGUCUCAAAAAAUGAAAAGAUGAGGAUAAUACAACUAGCAAAAUCAUUCCGUCCCCAAGUGUUGGAUUGUUGAAAUAUAUAAGUGCAUUGCUCGUAUUUCUUCAGAAUUUUGAAUGGACUAACUAGUGCAUACACCUUUAUAUGCAUCAGAGCCACUAAAUUCUGACUCCAGGACUAACUGAAAUACCCCACACAAAAAAAGAUUAACUAAAACAAUUUAGAAAUGUUUUUUUGAGGUGAAACAAUUUAGAAAUGUUAAAGCUCACUUUCGGUCUUAGUUAGGUCUUUGAAGUGUUCAUGGGCAGCCCAGCGCAAGAGACCAACAUCUGGACUGGUCUCAGACUCGACCUUUCCCGCCCAAAAGCCCAAGUAAAGCCCAAAUUGAGGUUUUUUUUUUGCGGGGAGCCCAAAUUGAGGUUUAAAUUAUCAUUUUAGUUAGAAAUAGGUAUAAUAGUAUAGUUAAAUAUCCUAAAAUAAUUAUUUGAAAAAUAUGCGAUGUUCAGAUGUUUCGGGUCGGUCCAGGCCUAGGCUUGGGAUAUCCACUCCAGGCUUUUGCCUGACUUGAAACCCGGCCUAGCGUGGAGCAUGAUCAGACGAAAUCACUAAUUAAGGAAUACUUGUUGCAAAGAAUACUCUAGUUUUUCAGGUCGCGACAAGUGGCACUCAUGCAGCGUGCCAUUUAUUGCAAUCUGGGAGUUUUAUCUUUUUUCGUAGAUUCGUUUAUUCAAAACGUUUUAUUUCUUAAACCGUGCGUCCAAAUCUCGAACCGUUUUCACCAUUGGAUUCGUCGCGUCGAGAUCUUUAAAGUUAGAUUUCAUGUUGAUAGGUUUUGACGAACUUUUUUUUCAUGAAAAAACCGGACAAAAAAACCGGGCGAAAAAACCGAACCGGGAGCACGGUUUGUUUCCCUUUCCGAAAGAGACACGCCCGUGCCUCUCGCAAAAUCACAACCGUGCCUCUCGUGGAAGCAAAACCGUGACUCUCGUGUAAGGAAAAAAAACAGAAAACUUGUUUUUUUUCGUUUCCGAGAGGCACGACCGUGACUCUCGCGAAAGCACAAUCGUGCCUCUCGCGAAAGCAAAGUCGUGACCCUCGCGAAAGAAAAAAAAAAUAAAACGCGUUUUUUUUUCUCUUUUCGAGAGGCACGGCCGUGACUUUCGCGUAAGCACAACCGUGUCUCUCGUGGAAGCAAAACCGUGACUCUCAUGAAAGAAAAAAAACAGAAAACGCAUUUUGUUUUUCCCUUUCUGAGAGGCACGGCCGUGANNNNNNNNNNNNNNNNNNNNNNNNNNNNNNNNNNNNNNNNNNNNNNNNNNNNNNNNNNNNNNNNNNNNNNNNNNNNNNNNNNNNNNNNNNNNNNNNNNNNNNNNNNNNNNNNNNNNNNNNNNNNNNNNNNNNNNNNNNNNNNNNNNNNNNNNNNNNNNNNNNNNNNNNNNNNNNNNNNNNNNNNNNNNNNNNNNNNNNNNNNNNNNNNNNNNNNNNNNNNNNNNNNNNNNNNNNNNNNNNNNNNNNNNNNNNNNNNNNNNNNNNNNNNNNNNNNNNNNNNNNNNNNNNNNNNNNNNNNNNNNNNNNNNNNNNNNNNNNNNNNNNNNNNNNNNNNNNNNNNNNNNNNNNNNNNNNNNNNNNNNNNNNNNNNNNNNNNNNNNNNNNNNNNNNNNNNNNNNNNNNNNNNNNNNNNNNNNNNNNNNNNNNNNNNNNNNNNNNNNNNNNNNNNNNNNNNNNNNNNNNNNNNNNNNNNNNNNNNNNNNNNNNNNNNNNNNNNNNNNNNNNNNNNNNNNNNNNNNNNNNNNNNNNNNNNNNNNNNNNNNNNNNNNNNNNNNNNNNNNNNNNNNNNNNNNNNNNNNNNNNNNNNNNNNNNNNNNNNNNNNNNNNNNNNNNNNNNNNNNNNNNNNNNNNNNNNNNNNNNNNNNNNNNNNNNNNNNNNNNNNNNNNNNNNNNNNNNNNNNNNNNNNNNNNNNNNNNNNNNNNNNNNNNNNNNNNNNNNNNNNNNNNNNNNNNNNNNNNNNNNNNNNNNNNNNNNNNNNNNNNNNNNNNNNNNNNNNNNNNNNNNNNNNNNUUUUUCCUUUCCGAGAGGCACGGCCAUGACUUUCGCGCAAGCACAACCGUGCCUCUCGCGGAAGCAAAACCGUGACUGUCAGAACGAAGAAAAGAACAGAAAACGCGUUUUGUUUUUCCCUUUUCGAGAGGCACGGCCGUGACUCUCGCGAAAGAACAACUGUGCCUCUCGCGAAGCAAAACCGUGACCCGCGAAAGAAAAAAAACAGAAAACUCGUUUUUUUGUUUCCGAGAGGCACGGCCGUGACUCUCGCUAAAGCACAACCGUGCCUCUCGCGGAAGAAAAACCGUGACUUUCACAAAAAAAAAGAAAACACGUUUUUUCGCGAAAAAAUAAUUUUUUUCGAAUUUUUUUUUUGAUCGAAAAGCUAAGAAAGACCGGGGGAAAACCAAAACGUCGAAAAAACCCGUUAAAAAGCCGAAAACGCAUGCGGAAAAAUAAAAAAAUAAAAUCCGAAGUUAACAUCCAGAGCACGACACGUGGCGAAUGACUGAGAGCGCGCCAAAUGACGCUGAUCGUUGCGAGGCUCUCGAAGGAGCGCUCGUUAACUAGUUGUUCCCAUGAUCAGGUUGUUGGAAAUAUGCCCUAGAGGCAAUAAUAAAAGUAUUAUUAUUAUAUUUCCUUGUUCAUGAUAAUUGUCUUUUAUUCAUGCUAUAACUGUAUUAUCCGGAAAUCGUAAUACACGUGUGAAUACAUAGACCACAAUAUGUCCCUAGUGAGCCUCUAGUUGACUAGCUCGUUGUGAUCAACAGAUAGUCAUGGUUUCCUGGCUAUGGACAUUGGAUGUCGUUGAUAACGGGAUCACAUCAUUAGGAGAAUGAUGUGAUGGACAAGACCCAAUCCUAAGCUUAGCACAAAGAUCGUGUAGUUCGUUUGCUAGAGCUUUGCCAAUGUCAAGUAUCUCUUCCUUUGACCAUGAGAUCGUGUAACUCCUGGAUACCGUAGGAGUGCCUUGGGUGUAUCAAACGUCACAACGUAACUGGGUGACUAUAAAGGUACACUACAGGUAUCUCCGAAAGUAUCUAUUGUUUUAUGCGGAUCGAGACUGGGAUUUGUCACUCCGUGAAAACGGAGAGGUAUCUCUGGGCCCACUCGGUAGGACAUCAUCAUAUGCGCAAUGUGACCAAGGAGUUGAUCACGGGAUGAUGUGUUACGGAACGAGUAAAGUGACUUGCCGAUAACGAGAUUGAACAAGGUAUUUGAUACCGACGAUCGAAUCUCGGGCAAGUAAAAUACCGCUAGACAAAGGGAAUUGAAUACGGGAUCGAUUGAGUCCUUGACAUCGUGGUUCAUCCGAUGAGAUCAUCGUGGAACAUGUGGGAGCCAACAUGGGUAUCCAGAUCCCGCUGUUGGUUAUUGACCGGAGAACGUCUCGGUCAUGUCUGCAUGUCUCCCGAACCCGUAGGGUCUACACACUUAAGGUUCGAUGACGCUAGGGUUAUAAAGGAAGCUUGUAUGUGGUAACCGAAUGUUGUUCGGAGUCCCGGAUGAGAUCCCGGACGUCACGAGGAGUUCCGGAAUGGUCUGGAGGUAAAGAUUUAUAUAUAGGAAGUCCUGUUUCGGCCAUCGGGACAAGUUUCGGGGUCAUCGGUAUUGUACCGGGACCACCGGAAGGGUCCAGGGGGCCCAUCGGGUGGGGCCACCUGCCCCGGGGGGCCACAUGGGCUGUAGGGGGUGCGCCUUGGCCUACAUGGACCAAGGGAACCAGCCCCAAGAGGCCCAUGCGCCUAGGGAACCCUAGAGGGAAGAGUCCUCGAGGGGGAAGGCACCUCCGAGGUGCCUUGGGGAGGAUGGACUCCUCCCCCCUUCUUGGCCGCACCCCUUUCUUGGAGUAGGGGGCAAGGCUGCGCCUCCCCCCUCUCCCCUGCCCCUAUAUAUAGUGGAGGGGAGGGAGGGCAUCCACACCUGAGCCCUUGGCGCCUCCCUCCCUCCCGUGACACCUCCUCCUCUCCCGUAGGUGCUUGGCGAAGCCCUGCGGGAUUGCCACGCUCCUCCACCACCACCACGCCGUUGUGCUGCUGUUGGAUGGAGUCUUCCUCAACCUCUCCCUCUCUCCUUGCUGGAUCAAGGCGUGGGAGACGUCACCGGGCUGUACGUGUGUUGAACGCGGAGGUGCCGUGCGUUCGGCACUUGAUCAUCGGUGAUUUGAAUCACGACGAGUAUGACUCCAUCAACCCCGUUCACUUGAACGCUUCCGCUUAGCGAUCUACAAGGGUAUGUAGAUGCACUCUCCCUCCUACUCGUUGCUGGUCUCUCCAUAGAUAGAUCUUGGUGUUUCGUAGGAAAAUUUUUGAAUUUCUGCUACGUUCCCCAACAGUGGCAUCAUGAGCUAGGUCUAUUGCGUAGAUUCUUUGCACGAGUAGAACACAAAGUAGUUGUGGGCGUCGAUAUUGUUCAAUAUGCUUGCCGUUACUAGUCUUAUCUUGAUUCGGCGGCAUCGUGGGAUGAAGCGGCCCGGAUCAACCUUACACGUACGCUUACGUGAGACCGGUUCCACCGACAAACAUGCACUAGUUGCAUAAGGUGGCUGGCGGGUGUCUGUCUCUCCCACUUUAGCCGGAUCGGAUUCGAUGAAAAGGGUCCUUAUGAAGGGUAAAUAGCAAUUGGCAUAUCACGUUGUGGUUCAUGCGUAGGUAAGAAACGUUCUUGCUAGAAACCCAUAGCAGCCACGUAAAACAUGCAAACAACAAUUAGAGGACGUCUAACUUGUUUUUGCAGGGUAUGCUAUGUGAUGUGAUAUGGCCAAAAAGGAUGUGAUGAAUGAUAUAUGUGAUGUAUGAGAUUGAUCAUGUUCUUGUAAUAGGAAUCACGACUUGCAUGUCGAUGAGUAUGACAACCGGCAGGAGCCAUAGGAGUUGUCUUUAUUUAUUUGUGACCUGCGUGUCAACUUAAACGUCAUGUAAUUACUUUACUUUAUUGCUAACCGUUAGCCAUAGUAGUAGAAGUAAUAGUUGGCGAGGCAACUUCAUGAAGACACGAUGAUGAAGAUCAUGAUGAUGGAGAUCAUGGUGUCAUGCCGGUGACGAUGAUGAUCAUGGAGCCCCGAAGAUAGAGAUCAAAAGGAGCAAAGUGAUGAUGGCCAUAUCAUGUCACUAUUUGAUUGCAUGUGAUGUUUAUCAUGUUUAUACAUCUUAUUUGCUUAGAACGACGGUAGUAAAUAAGAUGAUCCCUUACAACAAUUUCAAGAAGUGUUCCCCCCUAACUGUGCACCGUUGCGACAGUUCGCUGUUUCAAAACAUCACGUGAUGAUCGGGUGUUUUAUUCAGACGUUCAAAUACAACGGGUGUUGACGAGCCUAGCAUGUACAGACAUGGCCUCGGAACACAUGCAAAACACUUAGGGUUAACUUGACGAGCCUAGCAUGUACAGACAUGGCCUCGGAACACGGAGACCGAAAGGUCGAACAUGAGUCGUAUAGAAGAUACGAUCAACAUGAAGAUGUUCACCGAUGAUGACUAGUCCGUCUCACGUGAUGAUCGGACACGGCCUAGUUUGACUCGGAUCAUGUAAUCACUUAGAUGACCAGAGGGAUGUCUAUCUGAGUGGGAGUUCAUAAGAUGAACUUAAUUAUCUUGAACAUAGUCAAAAGACCUUUUGCAAAUUAUGUCGUAAGCUCACGCUUUAGUUCUACUGUUUUAGAUAUGUUCCUAGAGAAAAUUAUAGUUGAAAGUUGAAAGUAGCGAUUAUGCGGACAGUAGAAAGCUUAUGUCCUUAAUGCGCUGCUCAAUGUGCUGAACCCCAAACGUCGUUUGUGGAUGUUUCGAACAUCGAACAUACACGUUUUGAUAACUACGUGAUAGUUCAGUUAAACGGUUUAGAAUUGAGGCACCAAAGAUGUUUUUGAAACAUCGCGAAACAUAUGAGAUGUUUUGAGGGCUGAAAUUGGGAUUUCAGGCUCGUGCCCACGUCAAGAGGUAUAAGACCUCCGACGAUUUUCUUAGCCUGCAAACUAAGGGAGAAAAGCUCAAUCGUUGAGCUUGUGCUCAGAUUGUCUGAGUGCAACAAUCACUUGAAUCGAGUGGGAGUUGAUCUUCCAGAUGAGAUAGUGAUGUUUCCCCAAAGUCAUUGCCACCAAGCUACUAGAGCUUCGUGAUGAACUAUAACAUAUCAAGGAUAGAGAUGAUGAUCCUUGAGGUAUUCGCGUUGUUUGACAUCGCGAAAGUAGAAAUCAAGAAGGAGCAUCAAUUGUUGAUGGUUGGUGAGACCACUAGUUUCAAGAAGGGCAAGGGCAAGAAGGGAUACUUCAUGAAACGGCAAAUCAGCUGCUGCUCCAGUGAAGAAACCCGAGGUUGAACCCAAACCCGAGACUAAGUGCUUCUGUAAUAAGGGGAACAACCACUGGAGCAGAAUUACCCUAGAUACUUGGUAGAUGAGAAGGCUGGCAAGGUCGAUAGAAGUAUAUUGGAUAUACAUUAUGUUAAUGUGUACUUUACUAGUACUCCUAGUAGCACCAGGGUAUUAGAUACCGGUUCGGUUGCUAAGUGUUAGUAACUCGAAAUAAAAGCUACGGAAUAAACGGAGACUAGCUAAAAGUGAGCUGACGAUAUAUGUUGGAAGUGUUUCCAAGUUUGAUGUAAUCAAACAUCGCACGCUCCCUCUACCAUCAAGAUUAGCAUUAAACCUGAAUGGUUGAUUGAAUCUCGAUCGUAGUGAUACACAUUUUCAUGCCAAAAGAUAUAAGAUAGUAAUGAUAGUACCACUUACUUGUGGCACUGCCAUGUAAGUCAUAAUGGUAUAAAACGCAUGAAGAAGCUCCAUGUUGAUGGAUCUUUGGACUCACUCGUUUUUGAAAAGUUUGAGACAUGCGAACCAUGUCUAUUGGUGUAUAUGCAUGAAGAAACUCCAUGCAAAUGGACCGUUUGGACUCACUUGAUUUUGAAUCACUUGAGAUAUGCAAAUCAUACCACAUUGGCAAGAUGACUGAAAAGCCUCGGUUUCAACAAAUGGAACAAGACAGCAACUUGUUGGAAGUAACACAUUUUGAUGUGUGCAGUCCAAUGAGUGCUGAGGCAUGCAGUGAAUAUCGUUAUGUUCUUACUUCACAGAUGAUUCGAGUAGAUGUUGAGUAUAUUUACUUGAUGAAUCACGAGUCUGAAUUAUUGAAAGGUUCAAGUAAUUUCAGUGUGAAGUUGAAAGAUCGUCGUGACAAGAGGAUAAAAGAUCUAUGAUAUGAUCAUAGAGAUUAAUAUCUGAAUUACGAGUUUGGCACACAAUUAAGACAUUGUGGAAAUUGUUUCACAAUUAAUACCGCCUGGAACACCAUAGUGUGAUGGUGUGUCCGAACAUCAUAGUUGCACCCUAUUGGAUAUGGUGCGUACCAUGAUGUCUCUUAUCGAAUUACCACUAUUGUUCAUGGGUUAGGCAUUAGAGACAACCACAUUCACUUUAAAUAGGGCACCACGUAAUUCCGAUGAGAUGACACCGUAUGAAUUAUGGUUUAGAGAAACCUAAGUUGUCGUUUCUUAAAAGUUUGGGGCUGCGACGCUUAUAUGAAAAAGUUUCAGGUUGAUAAGCUCGAACCCAAAGCGGAUAAAAUGCAUCUUCAUAGGAAAACCCAAACAGUUGGGUAUACCUCCUAAUUCAGAUCCGAAAGCAAUAUGGAUUGUUUCUUGAAUCGGGUCCUUUCUCGAGGAAAAGUUUCUCUCGAAAGAUUUGAGUGGGAGGAUGGUGGAGACUUGAUGAGGUUAUUGAACCGUCUCUUCAACUAGUGUGUGGCAGGGCACAGGAAGUUGUUCCUGUGGCACCUACACCAAUGGAAGUGGAAGCUUAUGAUAUUGAUCAUGAAACUUCGGAUCAAGUCACUACCAAACCUCGUAGGACGACAAGGACACGUACUACUUUGGAGUGGUACGAUGAUCCUGUCUUGGAAGUCAUGUUGCUAGACAACAAUGAACCUACGAGCUAUGGAGAAGCAAUGGUGAGCCCGGAUUCCGAUAAAUGGCUCGAGGCCAUAAAAUCCGAGAACGGAUCCAUGGACUUUGGUGGACUUGCCCGAUGAUCGGCAAGCCAUUAAGAUAAAUGGAUCUUUAAGAAGAAGACGGACGUGGAUGGUAAUGUCACCGUCCAUGAAGCUCGACUUGUGGCGAAAAGUUUUUCCACAAGUUCAAGGAGUUGACUACGAUGAGAUUUUCUCAUCCGUAGCGAUGCUUAAAGUCCGUCGAAUUCAUGUUAGCAUUAGCUGCAUUUAUGAAAUCUGGCAGAUGGAUGUCAAAACGAGUUUCCUUACCAGUUUUCGUGAGGAAAGGUUGUAUGUAAUACAAUCAGAAAGUUUUUUGUCGAUCCUAAGGAUGCUAAAAUGUAUGCUAGCUCCAGCGAUCCUUCUAAGGACUGGAGUGAGCAUCUCGGAGUUGGAAUGUAUGCUUUGAUGAUGAUCAAAGAUUUUGGGUUUGUACAAAGUUUAUGAGAAACUUGUAUUUCCAAAGAAGUGAGUGGGAGCACUAUAGAAUUUCUGAUGAGUAUAUGUUGUUGACAUAUUGAUGAUCAGAGAUGAUGUAGAAUUUCUAGAAAGCAUAUAGGGUUAUUUGAAAGGUGUUUUUCAAUAGAAAACCUGGAUUAAGCUACUUGAACAUUGAGCAUCAAGAUCUAUAAGGAUAGAUCAAAAUGCUUAAUAAUACUUUCAAAUGAGCACAUACCUUGACAUGAUCUUGAAGGUGUUCAAGAUGGACCAGUCAAAGAAGGAGUUCUUGCCUGAAUUGUAAGGUACGAAGUUAAGACUUAAAGCUCGACCACGGCAGAAAAGAGAGAAAGGACGAAGGUCGUCCCCUAUGCUUUAGACGUAGGCUCUACAGUAUGCUAUGCUGUGUACCGCACCGAAAGUGUGCCUUGCCAUGAGUCAGUCAAGGGGUACAAGGGUGAUCCAAGAAUGGCUCACAGGACAGCGGUCAAAGUUAUCCUUAGUAACUAGUGGACUAAGGAAUUUUCUCGAUUAUGGAGGUGGUAAAAGAGUUCGUCGUAAAGGUUACGAUGAUGCAAGCUUGACACCUAUCCGGAUAGCUCUGAGUAGAGAGACCGGAUACAUAUAAUGGAGCAAUAAUUUAGAAUGGCUCCAAUUAGAACAGUUAUUUGGAACAGCUCCAAAUAGAGCGUGGUAGCUGCAUCUAGGAGAUGACAUAGAGAUUUGUAAAGCACACACGGAUCUGAAAGGUUCAGACCCGUUGACUAAAACCUCUCUCACAAGCAACAUGAUCAAACAUAAAACUCAUUGAGUGUUAAUCACAUAGUGAUGUGAACUAGACUACUGACUCUAGUAAACUCUUGGGUAUUAGUCACAUGGCGAUGUGACCUGUGAGUGUUAAUCACAUGGCGAUGUGAACUAGAUUAUUGACUCUAGUGCAAGUGGGAGACUGUUGGAAAUAUGCCCUAGAGGCAAUAAUAAAAGUAUUAUUAUUAUAUUUCCUUGUUCAUGAUAAUUGUCUUUUAUUCAUGCUAUAACUGUAUUAUCCGGAAAUCGUAAUACACGUGUGAAUACAUAGACCACAAUAUGUCCCUAGUGAGCCUCUAGUUGACUAGCUCGUUGUGAUCAACAGAUAGUCAUGGUUUCCUGGCUAUGGACAUUGGAUGUCGUUGAUAACGGGAUCACAUCAUUAGGAGAAUGAUGUGAUGGACAAGACCCAAUCCUAAGCAUAGCACAAAGAUCGUGUAGUUCAUUUGCUAGAGCUUUGCCAAUGUCAAGUAUCUCUUCCUUUGACCAUGAGAUCGUGUAACUCCUAGAUACCGUAGGAGUGCUUUGGGUGUAUCAAACGUCACAACGUAACUGGGUGACUAUAAAGGUGCACUACAGGUAUCUCCGAAAGUAUCUAUUGUUUUAUGCGGAUCGAGACUGGGAUUUGUCACUCCGUGUAAACGGAGAGGUAUCUCUGGGCCCACUCGGUAGGACAUCAUCAUAUGCGCAAUGUGACCAAGGAUUUGAUCACGGGAUGAUGUGUUACGGAACGAGUAAAGUGACUUGCCGAUAACGAGAUUGAACAAGGUAUUUGAUACCGACGAUCGAAUCUCGGGCAAGUAAAAUACCGCUAGACAAAGGGAAUUGAAUACGGGAUCGAUUGAGUCCUUGACAUCGUGGUUCAUCCGAUGAGAUCAUCGUGGAACAUGUGGGAGCCAACAUGGGUAUCCAGAUCCCGCUGUUGGUUAUUGACCGGAGAACGUCUCGGUCAUGUCUGCAUGUCUCCCGAACCCGUAGGGUCUACACACUUAAGGUUCGAUGACGCUAGGGUUAUAAAGGAAGCUUGUAUGUGGUAACCGAAUGUUGUUCGGAGUCCCGGAUGAGAUCCCGGACGUCACGAGGAGUUCCGGAAUGGUCUGGAGGUAAAGAUUUAUAUAUAGGAAGUCCUGUUUCGGCCAUCGGGACAAGUUUCGGGGUCAUCGGUAUUGUACCGGGACCACCGGAAGGGUCCAGGGGGCCCACCGGGUGGGGCCACCUGCCCCGGGGGGCCACAUGGGCUGUAGGGGGUGCGCCUUGGCCUACAUGGACCAAGGGCACCAGCCCCAAGAGGCCCAUGCGCCUAGGGAACCCUAGAGGGAAGAGUCCUCGAGGGGGAAGGCACCUCCGAGGUGCCUUGGGGAGGAUGGACUCCUCCCCCCUUCUUGGCCGCACCCCUUUCUUGGAGUAGGGAGCAAGGCUGCGCCUCCCCCCUCUCCCCUGCCCCUAUAUAUAGUGGAGGGGAGGGAGGGCAUCCACACCUGAGCCCUUGGCGCCUCCCUCCCUCCCGUGACACCUCCUCCUCUCCCGUAGGUGCUUGGCGAAGCCCUGCGGGAUUGCCACGCUCCUCCACCACCACCACGCCGUUGUGCUGCUGUUGGAUGGAGUCUUCCUCAACCUCUCCCUCUCUCCUUGCUGGAUCAAGGCGUGGGAGACGUCACCGGGCUGUACGUGUGUUGAACGCGGAGGUGCCGUGCGUUCGGCACUUGAUCAUCGGUGAUUUGAAUCACGACGAGUAUGACUCCAUCAACCCCGUUCACUUGAACGCUUCCGCUUAGCGAUCUACAAGGGUAUGUAGAUGCACUCUCCCUCCUACUCGUUGCUGGUCUCUCCAUAGAUAGAUCUUGGUGUUUCGUAGGAAAUUUUUUGAAUUUCUGCUACGUUCCCCAACACAGGUUGUAUAUGUGCAUUGCCCAUAUUUCUAGUUUGGAUCAAAUGUAGAAAAUGCAACUUACGAACUUCUCGGCCACAUUACACCUUUGCAUUCCACCAUUAGAUUGGUGAUUUUAUUUUGUACUUAACACCCUCAACUAUAGUCGUUUUCAUCACAAGGCCCCUCUUAUUUUGCAGAGCACACAUUAAGCUUCUUUCAUAUGCCAUUCUACUCCACAUCCUCGGUCCUUUGGUUCACCACAAGUAAUCUUUGCCAAAAUAAUUUUUUUACAAUAGUUUAUUUAUUUAUUUUGUGGAGAUAAAAAAUCAUGGACACUUGAAAAAAAA
rnacentral:lncRNA from 1 species